CAAAUUUGCAGCUUCUGUAAGAGCCUUUCUCCAUUGCUUUACCCUUUCUUGUUUAGCUUCACGUUCCUUGUCAUCUUUUUCUUCAUGGAUGCCCUCUUCGUGCUUCUGAAAUGCUUGAGCUAAAUCUCCGUUCUGCUUCCUAAUGUGAAGGAUCAACAUGAUAGAAUAUUGGCAAAACACGUCGCCCCAGUUUGUAUCUGCACUCCAUGAUCUUCACCAGCUCGUCAAGACACCAACUCGAGUCCGCAUAACUCUUUGAGAAGACAAUGAUAGAGAUCCUCGCCUCUUUGAUUGCCCGGACCAGUUCCUCUUUUAUUUCUUCCCCUCUUUCUAGAUCGUCCUCAUCGAUAUAAGCCUGGUAUCCCCUGUCAGUUAAUGCCGCAUGGAGGUGGCCCGUGAAACCAUUGCGUGUGUCUACACCGCUGAAUCUCAAGAACAUGUCGUAAUUCCAAAGUUUUGACUUGGAGGACGAUGAAGAGGAGGCUUCGUGGGUCGUCAUGGCGGUAUCCACCGUUAUGGCACUGCAGUGGUUCAGAUCACGACUGAAAAAUGGCAGUAGUUGUGCUCAUGCUGUCGAACGAAUGAUCCUGAAAUACCUAAAACCCAAGUCAAGCUCCUUCAGUCAACAAGAAUAAAGUUUUAAUAUAAUAAUGUUGGUGUAUGGACUUGAGAAACGACAUAAUGUUGGCCGGAAAGUGCAGAGAAAGAGAGAGGAAAAGAGGAACAAAAGGAGAAAGACUAUCCAAAUGAUUCUUGGCUGUGAUUACAGCUAUUCAUAGGAGAAACAACGUACAUAUUUUCAUAGGAGAAACAACUUGCCCAUCUUCAUAUAUAAUACAUUUCAACAGACAUAUUUUAAUAGGAGAAACUAGGGGUGGGCAAACGGGUCCAGGAACCGCAGGUCGGGGCGGGUAAUGGCGGUUCAGGGCGGGUACAGGCCGGGUCUUAUUUUUUUAAAGAAGAAACGGGGUGGGGGCGGGGAGGUGGUAUUUAUGGGGCGGGUCGAGUUCAAAUUUGUACAAGCAUGGGGCCCCGGGCCGACCCGUUCCUAAAAUGGACUGAUUGGAACCUGGACAAUAUGUUGUGGGCUUACUACACAAGGCAAUGGCCCAUGUGGGCUUACUGCUCGAAUACUCUAGAAACUAUGAUCCGACUCCUAUCUCUCCUGGAUCGAUCCCCAAAUCCCACUACUCUCUCUCCUCGUCGGCAUCACCGAACACAGAACCACCGAUUCACCACCAUCGUCACCCAUCACCGCCGUGGCGACCAUCACCAUCGCAGACGCUAUUAACCGUUAGUUUCACCCUAGGUCUCCCCUAUGUCUAUCACUCAAGUCCUCGAUCGUUUCUCUCCCGCGUGCGUCAUUCCCUCCACGGUUCUUCCACUACACUCUGUCACUCUCCGUCACUCUCCGUCAGUCACCUCCUCCACCACCCCGACAUCAACCCCGUCGCGAGUCUGGGCCCUGGCGACCACCACGACGAGCCAGCAACCUCGAUUGUCUUCCUCGAGUCCUCGAUGGCAUCCCAGAUUUAGAGAACUUUAGGGUUCUCUUUCUCCCUCCCACCCCUCGAAUCGACUGCGUCGACAUCAAAUCAGCCACCACACGAGUCACGAGGCUUCAAAUUCGGCUGGUGACUGCCCAAUCUGGUGCGACUCAACCGAUUCCGAGCGCUCUUGACUCUGUCGACGAAGAAGAAGAAGAGAAGAAAAAAAAAAAUAACCCGUGGACCCGGGCCGGGUUAGGUCAGGUUUCUGUGUUAAAAUUAGUUGUACCCGCCCCUGCCCGACCUGUUUCUUUUAAACCUGGGUCCGGCCGGUCCCUUCAAAAUUGGGCCCGGCCCUGGGCCCGGCCCGGCCCAUGCCCAGCCCUAGGAGAAACAACUUUAGUUUUUACUAGAAAUUUUUACCCACACGUUGCUACAGGAUUUGAAAUUGUAUAAAAGAUUAUCUUUGAAAUAUAUAAUAGAUUGUGUGAUUGAAGAUUAAUACUAUUUACACUGAAAACGUUGGGAAAAGUUUUACAUACAAAAGAUUUUACAAUACAAUCCACAUACAAAAGAUGGUAAAUUUUUUUCUAUCUACAUGCAUUAUGUUAUGGAAUGAUAUAUAUAUAACUAAGUUCCAGAAUACGUAAAUUUCAUAAUUUCGAAUUUUUUUGACAAAUUAAUCAGAUUCAACUGUGGGAUAGAAAGGUCGCCUAUAAAGUUGUGAAGUCGUGGAAGCAUAAAGGACAAAUAACAAAUGAGUUUUGAGAAAUUAUUCCACAAAAGUCAUUUUGCAAAAUGCAAAUGUAUUAAAGACGAUUGGUACAAGAUUAGUAAUCAUAAGUAGUGUAACAACAUCAACAAAAUAACUAUAAACCAUAGUUGAACAUAAUUCAAAUUUCGUUUGCAAAAACAAAAGAAAAAGAAAGAAAACAUACUUACAAUAAUUCAGCCUUUAAUCCUAAAGUCCUACUCAAAGAUCCAAACUUGAAUGCAAGCUUUCUGAAAUCUUCCAAACAAUACAGAUAAAAAGGUAACACCCUAGUCAGAAAUGAACCAAGGUGCGAGCUUUCUUAGAAACUCAGAUGAAAAAAUCAACAAAAUAGAAUGAAAAAAUGACUUACACUUUUAAGGCAUGCUCGAAUCGUGAUCUAAAAUUGGUGGUGGGUCGAUUGUUGGUCACCAACUCUAAAUGAAGAAUUCAUCAGAACCUAGAAAUUUAACAAAGAAUUUUCCAAAAUCAACAUUUACUAAAAACCAGUUACUUGGUUAUCAUGCAUGAUGGCUUGCCAAAGACUAAAUUAAGGAAUGCACAACUUUACCUUUAUGAUAUUUUCAAUGACAGCUAAAAGGUCAGAUUCAAAUGAAAAUAAAAGUUAGGACUUCACAAAACCAAUUAAAAAUCUAAUUCCAAAGUUACAAACACCAACCAAAUGAUUCCAGAUAAAGUUUUAAACUCAAAGUCAGACCCAAAUGAAAUUAAAAGUUAGGACUUCACAAAACCAAUUGAAAAUCUGAUUCCAAAGUUCCAAACACCCACCAAAUGAUUCUGGAUAAAGUUUAAACUCAAAAACCCAACAGAAACAAAAACCCAAAGUUCCAAACACCCACCAAUUGGUGUGACUUAAUUGUAUCUAAUUGAAGAAACUAAAACAAAAAUAAAGCAAAGUAUAUACCUCAAAAUAUCAACCAACUAAGUUCUUCCUCCGACAACCCAAAACUCUGAAAAUUCCACACAAAAAGGGUAAAUCCGUAAGCAAUUCAUAGCUUUCAAAAUUAACAAAAACUUGGGCAACAAUAAAGACACGUUGAGAACCAUCACUCUUUCUCCUUGUGUAUUUGAAAAUAUAUUUUAUAAGCAGUUUAUGUAGUCAUUCUGAUCAUGUUGCAGUUAAAUUCCUUUUCCACAGAGUUCAAAAUUAUAUGGCAGUUUAUGGCAUCUGUUGAACAACAUGGUUGAAAGAUUUAAAAUUGAUACAUUCAAUUUUUAUGUGUAAAACUAUAACAUAUACCUAAAGCUAUUUGGUCUAUAUAUCCAUAUCAAUCAUGUUGUAAUUAAAUGUUUAUCGAUGUAAAUAGAUGAUUUCAGUCAUGUGAUAACAUGUUUCUUGUUAGUAUACGCUGAAGUUUGGUCUAAGUUGGAUAAAAAUCGACCAAAAUCUUAGUAAGAGACUCUUUUAACUUUUAACCAAAAAAUGAGCACCACAAUACUACACUCAUAAGUUUUAUCAUGCACAAAAUAUACAACACUGAUAGCCACUUUUAGAGCAAGAACAAUACUUUACCAGACGAAAACAACAAAACACUCAAAACCCAGAAACAGAAACACACUUAGGACUCAAACUCCUCAAAAACAUAAGAAAGAGAGUGCAUGAGGAGAGAGAAUAAAAAAAAAUAUUAUUUUUCACAAACUCAAAAUUGCUUAUAAAAUUACAAAUCAAAACAAAUGAAUGCAAAUCCAAAAUUGCCCUAAAUUAAAUCUGUUUAGUUAAAUGUUUGUUGCCCUUCAAAUGUCAUUACACCUGACAAUUGCUUUGAAGUUGAUAUUUUGGUCAAUCCAGGGGAAAAGGAGUUAUUUCUUUUGGAGCAGUUGUCAUGGAGAAUCCCAUCUCCAUGUUGAAUGAUCUAAAAAAUUACUUACAUCUUCUGGUGGCCACAAUAAUUUAGGAGGCCCUUCUCUCCAGAUUUUCUCAAUAACUUUGCUUUUCGUAGCUGGUAAGAUUGCAACUCCAAGAAUUGCUCUGAAGAGAUAUAUACAAACAAAAUCAACCUAAAACUAAGCUAUUGGAACAAAUUUGGAAAACACAAACACCACUACAACUCAGAGUUAAAGUCAAUAGAAACCAAAUGGGAGAAGUUGAAAAAAUAUAUGGUCAUGAAUCGAGAACUUCAUCAAACUAACAGCAAUAAAAUCUCAUAUAAUCUGUCUAAAACCAAAAGAGAGAGAGAGGUAAUUUCAAGACCUUGUAACGCUAAGGCCUCGUACAGUUGUAGUAAUAAUAUAUGGUUGAUGCACCUGUUGCUCAAUCAAAUCCUUUGUCUGGCUAAAAAAAUAAAAAUCUAUAAAUACAUUCACGUCCAAUUUAUGAGAAAUCAUGGGAAAGCAAAUGCACUGAUAACGGAAUCAUGAAUAUGAAGAACUUGCCAAAAAGAAAAAGAAAACUUCUUAUAGUGUGCCAAGAACAUCCUCCUACUCCUAGCAAAUUUUUUAUGGCAUUAUCCACUUCUCAAUUCAUAAUUCAACCAGUAACUCAAAGUCUAUAGUGUAUGAAAAAGUGAUAUCUUAGUUGAUCACGAUGAUAAUUAAGCAGAUUAAAUGACGACCCAUAAAGCAUACAAAUUCAGAAAAGAAAAGGUUCAAAACUGCCAUAAGAAAACACAGAAUAUAUAAACGGGAAAUCAAAAGAAGAGAAGCGAAAAGGAAGAAAAAACCAAACAAAAUUAUUAGGUUUGUGAUAUACCUUUAUCCGAAACGCCACAAUCAUCAAAGUCAAACAUAAACAAUCCAAAAAUUUGUGGAAAAUAACAAUAAAUGCUUAACUAAAAACGAAAGAAAACGUAGAAUAAGUUUACAUGUUCUCCCCCUAAUUAAACUGGAAUACAAUUCACCACUAAUAUUCUCGUCAUCCUCUUCAGCCUGAAAAAUUUAGUAGAAAUAUUCAAUGAAGACGCUUAAUGGAGACAGUAAUAUUAGCAAUGGAGGAAUUGAAUUGAUAACUAAAACUGCAAGACCAAAUGACUACAAUAGGUUCACAACAGAAACUCGUCUGUUAGAUGUCUCAUCUUUAGGCAGUGCCUUGUUCUUUUUUUUUCUUUUUUGUCCUUUUGAAUUUCGGCAACAACAACUUUAAUAUCCUUACCUGCAUUUACCAUGAUUGGUCACUCUCAAAACCUUACCUAAGAGACCCAAAAACCAAAAUAACUGCCAAAAGAGCUGAACAUACAUAUCUAGAAAAACUUAUUCAACUACAUGCUAAAAUGGAAGUGUAAAAUUGCCAGGAAAGAUAAGAAACUAUUCAAAUACGAGUUCUGGGCGUUACUGCCACAAAAGGCACGAGCCGAGCGGCUAUCAACAAGAACACACUUCACAUUUGGGUCAGAUUCCCAUUCAUCCAGAUAGCUCUUGUAUUUCACAUCCAAAUCUGCAUUUUCCAACAAUUCCCACUUAAACAGAAACACAAAAUUCUUCCAAAAAGAGCUAACUUCUUCGAAAUUUGAAUCUAACGUUUCGUCUUAUAACAAAUGCAAUAACAUAGACUUGUAAUCAAUACGAUGCCAUAAAGUUCAAGCUCAAAAAUUCAAAUCAUCUCCAAAUCAAAAGCAAUUACAGAUAUACACAUGUAUACAUAUGCGUUUGUGUGUUUAUCUACAUACCUAGGUUUAUGGCGUUGAGAGCUCGGGGGGCGACCGAGGGUGAUGACGGCGACGCCAAAGGUGCGGAGAAGGCGAGGGGAUUUGCUCAGAAUUUGGGUCGCUCGUCCCUCUUAUGAGAGUGACUCAAAAAUCGAAAAAGUUGAAAUUUAUUGAUUGUGAUCUGACUCAAACAUGUGAUGAUGACGAUGCAUCACCACCUUGGUUGUGCCUCUGGAUCAAAAACCCACCAUCACCAUCAAAAUCGUGCUCAUUUUCCUUCAUAGGUUUGUCCCAUACUAGAUUAACCCCUGUUCCCUUAAUUGUCACAUUAUCUAAUGUAACGUAUGGCUCUGGCAUUUCAAAAGUUAUAUCAACUGUAUCCCCGCUUUGCAAAUUGAGCUUAUCGUUCGAUAUUUGUCCCUGCCAAAGAAAACAUUCUUUAUAUACAACAUCGCGCAUGAGGUUUUUUCUUUUUUUGGCGUAACAAUCGCGCAUUUUUAUAACCCAAUCUUCCUUGCUUAUGCAGGUCCGCAACUCAGUACGCUUGGUAUUAUUUAUAUCAAUCCUGGCAAGAGGAUGACUAUCUUUACAUCUGAUAUAAGGGCCGAACUGAGAAGGACUUGAGCAAUAAAAGCAUAACAGAGUCAGCCCUUCAAAAUUACAACCAUCACUCGGGGGGAUAUCAAAAGUGAUUUUAUUACCAUCGUUGACAAACUCGAACCAAUCAGGAACAUAAUUCCCAUUGAGAAAAAUGCCACCAUAUCCGCAAGAAGUCCAUCCCUAUAUACACAGUGCAAGUGUCAUAUAUAUAUACAUGUACAUGUGCGUUGUGUGUGUGCAUGUGCCCAAUAGGAAGACAAUUAAAGAGAGAGAUACCUUUAGGACUUUCCUCAUAAAAUCAGCGGUGAGUUCGGCGCAAUACGUCAUAUCAAUCCAUGUCAUGGAGUUUAAUGACUUAUCCAAGUCUGGAACCUCAGUGAGUGCAUGUGAAUCACGUACAUUUAGCUCUCUUAUAUUCGACAUUUUCGAAAAAUUUGGCAUUGUUAUCAAACGAUAGCAACGAGACGCAUCCAGAAAUUUCAAAUUUGUUGGUAAACCAUAGAUUGUAUGAAGGUUAUGGCAGUAACCUAACCACAAAUUUUCAAGCUUUGAAAGACCACUGAGGCUGGGUAGGGUAUGAAAAUCAUUAGAUGAGAGAUCUAAAUUUCUUAAAAAGUCUAAGCUGAGUAACGAAUCGGGAAAUUGCAAAUGAGUGAGAUUCGUCAAUCCUAGAGAUAAAUGAGUGAGAUUCUUCAAUCUUACUGUGGAACGCGGUACUUGUCUUAUGGCUGUCUCAUAUGCUUUAAGUACUCUCAAUGAUAUCAUAUUCCCUAAAUCCUCGGACAGUUCACUGAAUUGCCCACAAAAAAUCAAGAACAAGAGUCUGAACGGAUUUGGACCUGUAGAAAUCCCCAGGAAGAGAAAUAAGAUUCUUGCAGCCUGUGAGGUUCACCAAAGAAAGUUUUUUAAGAUGACCAAUGGAGGGGUGAAUCUCGGACAAACUCUCACACCAUUCCAAUAUCAACUCUUCAAGACUUGGGAGAUUUGAUAAGUCUGGUGAUUUUUCUAAGUCAGAGCAACCACUGAAAUCAAGGAUUUUCAAGUUUUUAAGCGACUGUUGCACAAAAUCCAAGAAAAAUUAAAAUUAAUAUCCAAAAGGAAUAUCUCAUAAAAUAAAUAAAUAAAGAGAGAAGGAAAUCCAAAAACAAAUAGAAACUUAACAUCAUCAUGUGUAAUCGAUUGUACCUUCGAGCCCUCCCAAACUUGUACCAGUUUGCUAUACUUUAUCUCUAAAAUAACUAGUCUUGGUUGAUCAAAGAAGUCAUCUGGUAUGGACUUUAAAGGGCAUUCAUUCCAACACAACCAUAUUAACUCUUUGGGGAGAUGUUUGUAUUCUCCAUUGAGUUGCACGUUGUAGAGCUGGAGCAGUCUCAGUUUCUUCAUAUUGGCAAAUGCUUCUGUACUGAUACUUGGAGACAGAAGAUCAGGGAAACCUACAACAAGUCCUUCAACUUCUUUAGUUCCCUGUUAACAACACAUUAUACUGGGUAAGAAAAGGAUUAUGUGCAUCUAUUUUACGUGAUUUUGCUAAUUGAGCUUCUUAAUGCGAAUACAUAUAUUUACACAUAAAGGUCGUACCCAGUGCACAAGGCUCCCGCUUUACGCAGGGUCUGGGAGAGGUGAAUGUCGGCUAGCCUUACCCCCAUUUAUGGAGAGGCUGCUCCCAAGUCUCGAACCCGAGACCUACCGCUCAUGGGCGAAGGCACUUGCCAUCGCACCAAGUGCGACCUCUGAAUACAUAUAUUUACACAUAAAUGUUUUUAAUGUAUGACAGCUAUACGUGGGUUACAUAUUUGCUUUUCUUGUACGAUGCAUUAAUACAAAAUUUUAUAGGGAAUGUACUUACAGAUUUAUCUCUCAAUACAUCAGUGACCUCCUGCUGGUUCCACAACCUACUCCAUUCUCCAGGGUGACGAGGGGAUUUUUCAGAAAUGAUUAAUUUGGCCAUUUCUCGAAGCAAAUCAUGUAUAUUCAACUUGUUGUCUUCAACAGUUAUAAGGCAUCAUUCACGAAGGACACUCAUUCCUAUUGUCGCAAAAAAGUCACAUCCAUCUAAUAUUUUUGUGACAUAGUCAUUAUCCCAUCCAAUGAAGAAACAAGAUAUGUCAAGGAAUAUAGCCUUCUGUUUAUCAUCUAGCCCUUCAAAGCUUAUUCUUAGUCGUUGUAUUAUUUCUCCUUCAGGAGUUGUUUUCAAUUUUACCAAUUGAUUUUCCCACUCUGCUAUGGUUCUUCCAAUUAAAAAAGUGCCUAAAACUUCAAGUGCUAGUGGCAAACCUCCACAGUAAGAAACGAUCUUCCUUGAGAGUUCAAGAUAUCCUUCAUUAGGCCAACAAUUUCUAAAGGCAUGCCAACUAAAGAGCUCCAGAGCUUCUUCUUCAUUCAUUUUAUGAAGCGGAUAUAUCUUGUCCACUCCAACUUGGCGUAGUAAAUGUUCAUCUCGUGUCGUUAUGAUAAUUCUACUUCCUAAGCCAAACCAAUCACAAUUUCCAGCUAUUGCAUUUAGUUGUUUCAUUUUGUCUACAUUGUCAAUAAUGACAAGUACGCUUCUACGUUGGAGAUGAUAUUUUAUCAGGCCGAUACCUUCAUCAACACUGGUUAUCUCAGGCUUGGUCUGUUUCAAGAUGUCAGAAACAAGUUUUUUUUGCGAAACAACCAGAUCUUUUUCACUAACGUUGUCAAGGAAACUUUUGAAUUGGAACUCAUGAUGAAUUUUGUUAUAAAUGGCUUUGGCAGCUGUUGUUUUACCCAAUCCACCCAUCCCCCCAAAUUCCAACCAUGCGAACAUCAUCUGAUCCACCACUUGAAAGAUAACUGAUAAUAUCUUGAACGCGAGAAUUGAUUCCAACCAGGUGAUUGGCCACAUGUAAUUUGUUUGCUCUCCGAAGCCAUUCCGGAAUAAUCUUGUCAACAAUUUCUCUAAUACGCUGUGCUUCGCAACUGAAAAUUGAAUUGGCAAGCUUAGUAAGCUCAGUAGGAGCUAUUAGUACACAAACAAUUUUCUUUCCUUCGUGUGUGUGUGUGUGUGUGUGUGUGUGUGUGUGUGUAUACACACUAACUAGCUACUAGCUAGUAUGUGAGUUUGUGAUCAACUUCAAUAAAAGAAACAAAUUCAUUCACUGAUAUAUUAAAGUUUGGUGUAUCAAUUAAACUCAUUAUGGUUUAGAUUUUAGAAGAAAUUGGAGAAAUGGUCCAUGAACUAUGAUCGAAUUGUAGCUUUGGUUCUUAAACUAAAAAUUCAUUAAAUCUCGUCCCUGAACUUAACAAAAUAUGGAACAUUGGUCCCUCCAUGUUAACACCGUAAGAUUUUCUGUUAAUUUGAUAACGUCGUCUUUGUGGGCUCCAUAUUUUUGUUUAUUAGAUGCCACGUUGCUUGAAAAUUCAAAUAAAAGAAAAUAAAUACAAGCAUUGAGAAACAAAGAGAAAAAAAAAUACUUUAAAUUAUAAAAGUUAACUCUCUCCCAUCCUCCCUUCCGCCUCACCUUCUCCAAACCCCAGCCACACCAUUGUAGCACUUUCCCAACAGCCAAAACAAAAGAAAAGUUCCUCAUCCAAAUUUGGAACACACCUCACCUUGCAAACGACUUCACAAUGACAUUCAUCUACGCUGUCUCGAAAGGUAAGAUUCAAGAAAUUUGUGGGAUGCGGGUUCGGGGUUCGGGUGAAGGCUGUGGUCCGUGGGCUAAAGGUUGGGGUCGGCUGGGGAGUGGGGAUUAGGGAUUGGGGGUUGGAAGUGGGAGGUUGACGGGGUGGGAAUCAACGAUUGAAGGUGAAGGGGUGGGCUGCGAGCCUGCGAGUGUUGGUGGGAUGAGGUAGGCCUGCAAUUAUAUAUAUAUAUGUAUGUAUGUAUGUAUGUAUGUAUGUAUGUAUAUAUAUAUGUAUGUAUGUAUAUAUGUAUAUAUAUGUAUGUAUAUAUAAUAUAGGUGAAACUAACAUGUAAAGUUGUAAACACUUUUAACUAAAACUGAAAGGAAUUGGUUACGAAGGACUAACGCUCCAUAUUUUAUCAAGUUCAAGGACAAAAUAUAAUGAAAUUUUAGUUUAGGAACCAAAGCUACAAUUUUCCUCUAGAUUUGAUAUGAGAUUUAAGGCGUAUUAAUUAAGCAUGUUAAUUAGAGUAAUGCAACUUAGAUAUUGAAAAGCACGUGAAUGAUUACCUAUUAUCAGUGAUUUGAAGAUGGUAGCCAGACAAAUUUGCAGCUUCUCUAAGAGCAUUUCUCCACUGCUUUACCCUUUCUUGUUUUUCUUCACGUUUCUUGUCAUCUUUUUCUUUACGAAUGUUCUUUUUGUGUUUCUUAAAUGCUUGGGCUAAAACUCCAUUCUGGUUCCUGACAUGUGAAGGAUCAACGUGAUAGAAUAUUGGCAAAACAUGGCGCUCCAGUUUGUCUCUGCACUCGAUGAUCUUCAUCAGCUCAUUAAGACACCAACUCGAACUCGCAUACCUCUUUGAGAAGACAAUGAUAGAGAUCUUCGAUUCUUCGAUUGCCUGGAACAGUUCUUUUUGUAUUUCUUCCCCUCUUUUUAGAUCGUCCUCAUCAAUAUAAGCCUGGUAUCCCCUGUCCGUUAAUGCCCUGUGGAGGUGGCCCGUGAAACCAUUGCGUGUGUCUACACCGCUGAAGCUCAAGAACACGUCGUAAUUCCAAAGUUUUGACUUGGAGGACGAUGAAGAGGAGGCUUCGUGGGUCGUCAUGGCGGUAUCCACCAUUAUGGCGCUGCAGUGGUUCAGAUCACGACUGAAAAAUGGCAGUAGUUGUGCUCGUGCUGUCGAACGGAUGAUCCUGAAAUACCUAAACCCAAGUCAAGCUCCUUCAGUCAACAAGAACAAAGUUUUAAUAUAAUAAUGUUGGUGUAUGGACUUGAGAAACGACAUAAUGUUGGCCGGAAAGUGCAGAGAAAGAGAGAGGAAAAGACGAAUGAAAGGAGAAAAGACUAUCCAAAUGAUUCUUGGCUGUGAUUACAGCUAUUCAUAGGAGAAACAAUGGACAUAUUUUCAUAGGAGAAACAACCUGCCCACUUCAUUUAUAAUAUAUUUCAACAGAGAUAUUUUAAUAGGAGAAACAACUUUCGUUUGUACUAGAAAUUUUUACCCGCGUGUUGCUACGUGAUUUGAAAUUGUAAGAAAGAUUAUCUUUGAAAUAUAUAAUAGAUUGUGUGAUUGAAGAUUAAUACUAUUUACAUUGAAAACGUUGGAAAAAGUUUUACAUACAAAAGAUUUUACGAUACAAUCCACAUCAAAAGAUGGUAAAUUUUUUUCUAUCUACAUGCAUUAAGUUAUGGAAUGAUAUAUAGAUAUAUAUAUAUAACUGAGUUCCAGAAUACGUAAACUUCAUAACUUGGAAAUUUUUUGACAAAUUAAUCAGAUUCAACUGUGGGAUAGCAAGGUCGCCUAUAAAGUUGUGAAGUCGUGGAAGCAUAAAGGACAAAUAACAAAUGAGUUUUGAGAAAUUAUUCCACAAAUGUCAUUUUGCAAAAUGUAUUAAAGACGAUUGGGUACAAGAUUAGUAAUCAUGAGUAGUGUAACAACAUCAACAAAAUAACUAUAAUCCAUAGUUGUUGAACAUAAUUCAAAUUUCGUUUGCAAAAACAAAAGAAAAAGAAAACAGACUUACAAUAAUUCAGCCUUCAAUCCUGAAGUCCUACUCAAAGAGCCAAACUUGAAUGCAAGCUUUCUGAAAUCUUCCAAACAAUACAGAUAAAAAGGUAACAUCCUAGUCAGAAACGAACCGAGGUGCAAGCUUUCUUAGAAACCCAGAUGACAAAAUCAACAAAAGAGAAUGGAAAAAUGACUUACACUUUUAAGGCAUGCUCAAAUCUUGAUCUAAAAUUUGUGGUGGGUCGAUUGUUGGCCACCAACUCUAAAUGAAGAAUUCAUCAGAAACUAGAAAUUUAAACAAAGAAUUUUCCAAAAUCAACAUUUACUAAAAACCAGUUACUUGGUUAUCAUGCAUGAUGGCUUGCCAAAGACUGAAUUAAGGAAUGCACAACUUUACUUUUUAUGAUUAUUUUCAAUGAUAGCUAAAAGGUCAGAUCCAAAUGAAAAUAAAACUUAGGACUUCACAAAACCAAUUAAAAAUCUAAUUCCAAAGUUACAAACACCCACCAAAUGAUUCCAGAUAAAGUUUUAAACUCAACGUCAGACCCAAAUGAAAUUAAAAGUUAGGACUUCACAAAACCAAUUGAAAAUCUGAUUCCAAAGUUCCAAACACCCACCAAAUGAUUCCGGAUAAAGUUUAAACUCAAAAACCCAACAGAAACAAAAGCAUUGGUGUGAAUUAACUGUAUCUAAUUGAAGAAACUAAAACAAAAGUAAAGCAAAGUACAUACCUCAAAAUGUCAAGCAACUAAGUUCUUCCUCCGACGACCCAAAAUUCUGAAAAUUCCACACAAAAAAAGAGUAAGCCCAUUAGCAAUUCAUAGCUUUCAAAAUUAGCAAAAACUUGGGCAACAAUAAAGACGCGUUGAGAACCAUCACUCUUUCUCCUUAUAUAUUUGAAAAGAUAUUUUAUAAGCAGUUUAUGUAGUCAUUCAGAUCAUGUUGCAUAUAAAUUCCUUUUCUACAGAGUUCAUAAAAGUAUGGCAGUUUAUGGUAUCUGUUGAAUGACAUGGUUGAAAGAUUUCAAAUUGAUAUAUUCAAUUUAUGUGUAAAACUAUAACAUAUAGCUAAAGCUAUUGGGUCUAUAUAUCCAUAUCAAUCAUGUCGUAAUUGAAUGUUUAUCAAUGUAAAUAGAUGAUUUCAGUCAUGUGAUAACAUGUUUCUUGAUAGUAUACGCUGAAGAUUGGUCUAAGUGGGAUAUGAAUCGACCAAAAUCUUAAGAAGAGACUCUUUUAACUUUUAACCAAAAAUGAACACCACAGUACUACACUAAGUUUUAUCAUGCAUAAAAUACACAACACUGAUUGCCACUUUUAGAAAACAACAAAACACUCAAAACCCAGAAACAGAAACACACUUUAGGACUCAAACUCCCCAAAAACAUAUGAGAGAGAUAGAGAGAUAGAGAGAGAGAGAGAGAGAGAGAGAGAGAGAGAGAAUAAAAACAAUAUUAUUUUUCACACAAACUCAAAAUUGCUUAUAAAAUUACAAAUCAAAACAAAUGAAAGCAAAUCCAAAAUUGCCCUAAAUUAAAUCUGAUUAGUUAAAUGUUUGUUGCCCUACAAAUGUCAUUACACCCGACAAAACUUGCUUUGAAGUUGAUAUUUUGGUCAAUCCGGGGGAAAAUGAGCUAUUGCUUUUGGAGCAGUUGUCAUGGAGAUUACCAUCUCCCUGUUGAAUGAUCUAAAAAAGGACUUACAGCUUCUGGUGGCCAUAAUAAUUUAGGAGGUCCUUCGCUCCAGAUUUUCUCAAUAACUUUCCUUUUCGUGGCUGGUAGGAUUGCAACUCCAAGAAUUGCUCUGAAGAGAUAUAUGCAAACAAAAUCAAACUAAAACUAAGCUGUUGGAAGAAAUUUAGAAAACACAAACACCACAACUCAGAGUUAAAGUCAACAGAAACCAAAUGGUAGAAGUUGAAAAAAAUAUAUGGUGAUGAAUCGAGAACUUCAUUAAACUAACAGCAAUAAAAUCUCAUAUAAUCUGUCAAAAACCAAAAAAGAGAGAGGUAAUUUCAAAACCUUGUAACGCUGAGGCGUCGUACAGUUGUAGUAAUAAUAUAUGGUUGAUGCACCUGUUGCUCAAUCAAAUCCUCUGUCUGGCUAAAAAAAUAAAAAUCUAUAAAUACAUUCACGUCCAAUUUAUGAGAAAUCAUGGGAAAGUAAAUGCACUGAUAACGGAAUUAUGAAUAUGAACUUGCCAAAAAGAAAAAGAAAACUUCUUAUAGUGUGCCAAGAACAUCCUCCUACUCCUAGCAAUUUUUAAUGGCAUUGUCCACUUCUCAAUUCAUAAUUCAACCAAUAACUCAAAGUCUAUAGUGUUUGAAAAAGUGAUAUCUUAGUUGAUCACGAUGAUAAUUAAGCAGAUUAAAUGAUGACCCAUAAAGCAUACAAAUUCAGAAAAGAAAAGGUUCAAAACUGUCAUGAGAAAAUACAGAAUAUAUAAACAGGAAAUCAAAAAAAGAGAAGUGAAAAAGGAAGAAACAACCAAACAAAAUUAUUAGGUUUGGGAUAUACCUUUAUCUGAAACGCCACAAUCAUCAAAGUCAAACUUAAACAACAACAACAACAACAACAACAACAAAGCCUUUUCCCACUAAGUGGGAAAGUCAAACUUAAACAAUCCAAAAAUUUGUGGAAAAUACCAAUAAAUGCUCAACUAAAAACGAAAGAAACGUAGAAUAAGUUUACCUGUUCUGCCCCUAAUUAAACUGGAAUACAAUUCACCACUAAUAUUCCUUGGUGUAUGCUUUUCGCAGACGAUAUAGUGUUGAUAGAUGAAACUCAGGAAGGGGUAAAUGCAAAGCUUAACCUUUGGAGAGAAGUGUUGGAAUCUAAAGGUCUUCGCCUAAGCCGAUCAAAGACAGAAUAUAUGGAGUGCAAGUUCAGUGCAAAUGGAGGCCAAAACGAGUUAGGGGUGAGGAUCGGAGAUCAAGAAAUACUAAAGAGCGACCGUUUUCGUUACCUAGGAUCUAUCUUGCAAAAGAACGGAGAAUUAGAUGGAGAUCUCAACCAUAGAAUACAAGCUGGAUGGAUGAAGUGGAAGAGUGCAUCCGGCGUGUUAUGUGACCGCCGUAUGCCACUGAAGCUCAAGGGAAAAUUUUAUAAGGACGGCAAUAAGGCCGGCGAUGCUGUAUGGCACAGAAUGUUGGGCGGUGAAACAUCAAACACGUACACAAAAUGGGUGUAGCGGAGAUGAGGAUGCUUCGUUGGAUGUGUGGGCACACGAGAAAGGAUAAGAUUAGGAAUGAGGAUAUCCGGGGUAAAGUAGGAGUAGCCGAAAUUGAAGGAAAGAUGAGAGAAAAUCGGUUACGGUGGUUUGGACAUGUGCAAAGAAAGGCCUACUGACGCUCCGAUUAGAAGAUGCGACUAUGGGACAGAGGUUCAGGGCCGAAGGGGUAGAGGAAGACCUAGGAAAACUUUGGAAGAGACUCUAAGAAAAGACUUAGAGUACUUGGAUCUAACGAAGGACAUGACACAGGAUCGAGCACAAUGGCGUUCUAAGAUUCAUAUAGCCGAUCCCACUCAGUGACUUGGAUUUUCCAAGUCUCCAACCGAGAAGUUUUCCUCACUCGGAAAAUUAAGGGAACACUACCCCAACCUACAUGCUCCACUCAGAAAGCUUCAACAUACAAGCUUCAACAAAAGAAAAUUCAAAGAACUUAGCGAAGAAGGCUUUGGUGUAUUAACACAAUACGUUGAAAUGAAGGAAAGCUUAUUUAUUGAUAUCCCCGAUAAGCUACAAAUAUGUACAUAUACAUGAGUCAAAAUAAACACACAAGAGGGAGCCUUCACAAAGGUUGCUUAGGAGAAGUCUCAGCAGUCGGUAGAGCCCCAGAAAGAGAAGGCACCGGAGGGGGAUCAUUUGGAGCCUCAGUACUGGACAGAACCCUAGAAGGAGGAGGCAUCAGAGGUUGAUCAUUUGGAGCUUCAUUACGCGGUACAGCCCCAGAAGACGAAGGCAAUAAAUGCCUUUGGAACAAACCCACAAAUCUCUGAUGAUCAAGUAAAACCUGACCAUCAGUUUCCUUCAUCUGGUCAAGCUUCCUCUUCAUGUUUGUAGCAUAGUCAUGUGCGAGCCGGUGCAACUGUUUAUUCUCAUGCUUGAGCCCUCUAAUCUCCUGUUUGAGACUCAUCACUUCAGCCGCCAAUGAUUCAACUUGGCGGGUUCGAGCAAAUAGGCGUUGGGCCAUAUUAGACACAGAACCUGCACACUGAACACUGAGAGCCAGCGAAUCCUUAACAGCUAACUCAUCAGACCGUUUGGAAAGUAGUCUGUUAUCUUUGGGAGUGAGAAGGUUCCUGGCCACCACCGCAGCGGUCAUAUCAUUCUUCAUCACGGAAUCCCCAACGGUAAGAGGACCAGUAGGGGAGACGAAGGAUGGGCGCCAUAUGUUGUCUGGAGAAGGCGGGGCUGCCUCUUCAACAAGGUUCAAGUCAAAACGACGGUCGGAGGGGCCAGACAUUUUCAAAGGUGUUGAAGAGAGAAGAGGUCGGACAAAUCAAGAUCUUAGAAGUGCAAGAAUGAAGCUUCUACUGGUGGAGAUUCAAGUGUGCUUUGGAACUUAAUGCCAGCCCCUAUAAAAAUCUGCACUCGACGGAGCUUCAGAAAAUCGAAGAGGCGCCUGCUCAGAAAUCGAAGAGGCGUUUGCUUUCUCAAAAGCUGGGCUGCUUAGAGAUCACGAGGGUUGAUCUCAGAAAUCGAAGAGGCGUUUGCUUUCUCAAAAGUUGGGCUGCUCAAAGACCACGAAGGCCGAUCUCAGAAAAUCGAAGAGGCGCUCGCUUUCUCAAAAGCUGGGCUCCCCAGAGACCACGAGGGCCGAUCUCAGAAAUCGAAGAGGCACCUACUUUUCCAGCCUUGUCAGCACCUGUCACACGCACACUCAGCUUUGCGGAAAUUAUGGGCAUUCUGUCGAAGACUUCUGGGGAAGUAGAAAACACAUGAAUCUUACUGUUCAAUCACCCACUUCCCACACGCAACAAUAGCUCAUGGGUACCACAGAUAACUUUGCCAAAGUUCUCUGCCAAAGUUGAGCACGUGAAGCUUGCAGCUCCCACUACAUCGCUCUGACCAAGAAGGGUAAAAGAAUAGCAAAGAAACAGCACUAACAAAGUUUAGACCCAUAAAUUUUGAAGGUCUAGCUACCAUAUUAUUACCCACAAGGGUAAAGGAACAGUACCACUGCUGGAUAAUUGGAAAGUCCCUGUGUGUCAACCUCUGUGCUUCGUGGCAAGGUAGACUAGCAAACAUGCCCAACCUUUACUCACAUUCGAGAAAACACUCCCAAUAAGAUUGCUUGCUCCAAAAUCGAAGAGGCACCGUCCUCCGAAUCUCGAGAGCCAGACUCCCAACAUGACUACUUUCUUAAAAAUCGAAGAGAGGGUAAAGGAACAGUACCAUUGCUGGAUAAUUGGAAAGUCCCUGUGUGUCAACCUCUGUGCUUCGUGGCAAGGUAGACUAGCAAACAUGCCCAACCUUUACUCACAUUCGAGAAAACACUCCCAACAAGAUUGCUUGCUCCAAAAUCGAAGAGGCACCCGCCCUCCGAAUCUCGAGAGCCAGACUCCCAACAUGAUUACUUUCUCAAAAAUCGAAGAGACACUGCUCCCCGAAUCUUCGAGAGCCAGACCCCCAGCAUGAUUGCUUUCUCAAAAAUCGAUGAGGCAUCGUUCUCCGAAUCAAUCGAAGAGGCGCUCGCUUUCUCAAAAGCUGGGCUGCUCAGAGACCACGAGGGCCGAUCUCAGAAAUCGAAGAGGCACCUACUUUUCUAGCCUUGUCAGCACCUGUCACACGCACACUCAGCUUUGCAGAAAUUAUGGGCAUUCUGUCGAAGACUUCUGGUGAAGUAGAAAGCACAUGAAUCUUACUGUUCAAUCACCCACUUCCCACACGCAACAAUAGCUCAUGGGUACCACAGAUAACUUUGCCAAAGUUCUCUGCCAAAGUUGAGCACGUGAAGCUUGCAGCUCCCACUACAUCGCUCUGACCAAGAAAGGUAAAAGAAUAGCAAAGAAACAGCACUAACAAAGUUUAGACACAUAAAUUUUUGAAGGUCUAGCUACCAUAUUAUUACCCACAAGGGUAAAGGAACAGUACCACUGCUGGAUAAUUGGAAAGUCCCUGUGUGUCAACCUCUGUGCUUCGUGGCAAGGUAGACUAGCAAACAUGCCCAACCUUUACUCACAUUCGAGAAAACACUCCCAACAAGAUUGCUUGCUCCAAAAUCGAAGAGGCACCGUCCUCCGAAUCUCGAGAGCCAGACUCCCAACAUGACUACUUUCUCAAAAUCGAAGAGAGGGUAAAGGAACAGUACCAUUGCUGGAUAAUUGGAAAGUCCCUGUGUGUCAACCUUUGUGCUUCGUGGCAAGGUAGACUAGCAAACAUGCCCAACCUUUACUCACAUUCGAGACAACACUCCCAACAAGAUUGCUUGCUCCAAAAUCGAAGAGGCACCCGCCCUCCGAAUCUCGAGAGCCAGACUCCCAACAUGAUUACUUUCCUCAAAAAUCGAAGAGACACUGCUCUCCGAAUCUCGAGAGCCAGACCCCCAGCAUGAUUGCUUUCUCAAAAAUCGAAGAGGCAUCGUUCUCCGAAUCUCGAGAGCCAGAUACCACAGACCACUUUUUCAAAGUGCUCUGACAGAGUUAAAACAUGUGAAACUGGCAGCUCCCACUACCGUGCUAUGACCAAGCAGGGUAAAGGAAUAGCAUUACUACUUGUUGUUAGGGAGACUCCUAUAUAUGUCGACCUCCAUCCCCAACGGACAGGCAGACCUGCAAAAAUGCUCAACCCUUCAUCAUAUCUGAGAGGGCACUCCCAACGAAGCCUUUCGAAAUAUUCAGCUUUCUUUCCCCCCGAUAAUACCUCUGCAAACAAGCUAUACUACUAGAGCAAGAAUAUCUCAUAUCAUCAGGGUUAAAAGCAAGAGUAUCCCAUAUCAUGCUUUUUCCCUGUCUUUUCCUUUGGCCUUGUUUUUUACCUGCAAGACAAGGAGAAAGAGAGAGCAAUCAGUCAGCACUUGGAAUCAAGCUUCCAGCCAGGAACUGACUGCCUGGAACCCCUUACCUGAUUACUUACCUGGCAUUGCUCUCGAGUACUCAUCUUCAACAUCUUAUGUUUCCAGGGAAGAUUCCGCAUCUGCUUGAGGAACAGAUAGGGCAAGUGCGAAGGAUACAAGGAAGCAUGUGGAGACAAGCGUAACAGCACACGUGCCGAUACAUCCAUUACUCUGUCAAAAGCAAAAGUAUCCCAUAUCAGCAGGGUGGAACGUACUCUAGAUUUGAUGGACUUGUUUUGACCCUCAAAUUCUUCAGUCGGCCUUAUACUCUGGAGGAAACCAGAAAACCCUCCAGCUCAGUUCAAGAAUAAGCCUGUGGAAAGUUACUUCUUCAAAAGCAAAAGUAUCUCUCAUAUCAUCUCUUCUCAUUUUUUCUUCUCUUUAUCCUUCAUGCUGCUGCAAGAUGGGGAGAAGGUGAACAAUCAGUCGGAGCUCUGAUUGCUUACCUUGUCUGUCACCUCUUUCAGCAGACCCCCUAGCUCGGCGACUUGGGGGACUCCUACUACAUGGUUUGUAUCGCGCUUGACCAAGCCUGAAACUACAAGUAAGCUUCAAGUGAAAUUGAUACAUUACCUUGUGCAUCUCCACCAGUUAAAGAUACCACCCCUGGAUGGAGGAAGAGUACUUCCAGAGAAGAUGCCACAUCUACCUAUGAGACAGAUAAGGCAAGUCAAGACGACACCACACUCCGAUACUUAGAAGUUUCGUGAUUACGAGAUCAUUCUCCCACAAUAUUUCCUAAUGUCAUUUGUACUAAAUCAUUCACUUGUACUCACUAAAGGAGAGCUUGAACCUAUGUACUUGUGUAAACCCUUCACAAUUAAUGAGAACUCUUCUAUUCCGUGGACGUAGCCAAUCUGGGUGAACCACGUACAUCUUGUGUUUGCUUUCCUAUCUCUAUCCAUUUAUAUACUUAUCCACACUAAUGACCGGAGCAAUCUAGCGAAGAUCACAAAAAAGCGACCGUUUUCGCUACCUAGGAUCUAUCUUGCAAGAGAACGGAGAAUUAGAUGGAGAUCUCAACCAUAGAAUACGAGCUGGAUGGAUGAAGUGUAAGAAUGCAUCCGGCGUGUUGUGUGACCGUCGUAGGCCACUGAAGCUCAAGGGAAAAUUUUAUAGGACGGCAAUAAGGCCAGCGAUGUUGUAUGGCACAGAAGAAUGUUGGGUGGUGAAGCAUCAACACGUACACAAAAUGGGUGUAGCGGAGAUGAGGAUGCUUCGUGGGAUGUGUGGGCACACGAGAAAGGAUAAGAUUGGGAAUGAGGAUAUCCGAGGUAAAGUAGGAGUAGCCGAAAUUGUAGGAAAGAUGAGAGAAAAUCGGCUCCGGUGAUUUGGACAUGUGCAAAGAAGGCUGAAUGACGCUCCGGUUCGAAGAUGUGACUACGGGACAGAGGUUCAGGGUUGAAGGGGUAGAGGAAGACCUAGGAAAACUUUGGAAGAGACUAUAAGAAAAGACUUAGAGUACUUGGAUCUAACGGAGGACAUGACACAAAACCGAGCGCAAUGGCGUUCUAGGAUUCAUAUAGCCGACCCCACUUAGUGGGAAAAGGCUUUGUUGUUGUUGUUGUUGUAUUCAAUGAAGAUGCUUAAAGGAGACAGUAAUAUUAGCAAUGAAGGAAUUUAAUUGAUAACUAAAACUGCAAAACAAAAUGACUACAAUAGGUUCAAAACAGAAACUCGUCCGAUAGAUAUCUCAUCUUUAGGCAAUGCCUUGUUCCCUUUUUUUUUUUUUUUUUUUUUUUUUUUUUUUGUUGCAUGUCUUGUGAACUUCAUGUAAAUCAACAAAAUUGAUACCUUAACCAACAAUGGAGAGGUAAAAAGUUAAAAACAGAAGGAAUGUCUUCAGUUUUGUAAUGGAUUUUGCAAGUCAAAUUCUGUUCGAGAAUUUGCAACCCAGAAAGUCCCAGCAAUUAUUAACAAUCACAGAUAAGCACCGAAUGAAGGCCAAUCUAAUAAGCCAAAAUAUGUAGGGCACUAAAGAAAUUAUUGCCCAGUAACAAUGAUAGAUAAGCACAUGUGAAACUAAAGAAAAUUUUCAUUACUAUCAACUCCAAAAAAAAUUACCUAUGCAAUCCAAAAAAUGUUGAUACAGAGUUGGAGUAUCGAUGCCUGAAAUUGGUAUUUGAACCACCAACUACCUCCGUGAAUAUGCUUGUCACUUAAUGGUUUGGGUUGAAGUUGUGAAAGGAAAUGUAAUUUCUUAAAAGGAAGGAGAGAAUGCAGAGAAGAAUACAGAAUGGUUCACGUGGCCACCGCAAAACAGGUUAAUAAUCAAGCUUCACUAUGAAUGGAAAGAUUAAUAGAUGAUAAUUAAGAAGGCCUGAUACCCAAGCCGAAAUCAGAGAUAUCCUUUGUAAACAAAGAGAUUGAACAUUUCCUCUCAAAAAAUAACUUUUUUUUUUGUUUUGGGGGGGAGGUUGGGAAGGCUCAGAAAAAGACAUCCAAUAUAAUACUUAUUGCAUGCAAGGUAUGAAACAGCCUCCCCCCGAGUAAAAUCACAGAAAUAAAAGAAAUCGAAUCAAGAAAAAAGAUAAUUACACAAGAAUUACACCUUCACUAAGAAAAUAAAUUAUAAAAACGAAGACUCUGAGAAUAAUUGCCUGUGAUUUGCUGCCAAAAACAAAAAUAAUGUCGUAUACAUUAAGCCUGCCGAUUACUAAAAACAAAACAUUUUUCCAUGAGAAGAAGUAAGAACAUACCGAAACUUGUUUGCUAAUAGAUGAGAAAAAUUUAUAACUGAAACAUAUAGGAAAUUUAUUAGGAAAAGAUAAACAAAACACCUAAAUUAAGCAAUUAAAUGGAGUAUUACUUGAUAGAGCUGGAAAAUUACCCAGUUCCUCAGAGAGAGGAUCAAGAGUGAAUGAUGAGAGUGCAGAGAAACGAAUGAUUGAGAAAUUCAAGCUCUGAGCUCACAGUUGGGGCUUCCACUUUCCAACUGGGGAAGAAAUAACAGAGAAAACACAAGGCCAAUCCACCAAAAAUAUUAAUCAAAUGGGUUUCUUCUAAUUCAAAAUUUUGACCACCCAAAUUCCGAUGAAGCAAUAAUUGUUCAAAAUUCCAACAGAUUGAAGGAAAAAGUAAUAAAUUUUUUUAAAACAGUAAUAAUGAAGGAAAAAGAAAUUAAAGCUGCGAGCCAUUCUCUAAAUCUCAGGCACCAAUCCAAAUCACCAGUAAUUUGCACAUAAUGAUAAGAAUCUAGCAAUACUUCCAUUGUUUAAAACCCAAAUUCCAGAAAUCAUGAAAAAUGGAAACUUUAUAUGGAAAUUGAAGCUUUACCUGCAGAUCAGCAGCAGCAAACGAAAUUCAAGAAGUCACGAUUAUCGACGCGUGGGUAGCAUUCCACUGUGCCAAGGACGAAAAUGAACGGGGAAUGUAGAGCUGGCUGACGAAGACAGGAUUCGCGAAGCGCUCUGAUUUUUUUUUUCACGAGAAUGCGGAAUGAAGAGAAGCGAGUAGAGGAGGAAUCAUUUUAAGCGAUGAUCGACGCGUGGAAAUUGAGGGCAAAUCUGCCAUUUUGCUGUGAACGAAAGUGAAAAAAGGCACAAUCAAAGAGUAAUUUGAGGGCAUUCUAGCCACUUUAAUAAACAGUAGCUUUGUGUUUGAGAUUUAAUAUAGGUAUAUAUAGAGCCCUACAGAGCAACUCCACCCAUGGAGCCCUCCUCUCUGACAAUCUACUAUUGAAUUCACCUUUUUGAACAGUAACUGCCUUUAAUAAAUAGUAACUACCAUUAAUGAACAAUAAUUGUCAUUUGCAUCUCCACCCUUGGAGCCCUCCCCCCUGGCAAUAGGCAAUAAAAUAUUAAUUUUUUUUGUUUGUUUAAAUAAUACAAAAUAAAAUUAUUUGUAAUUUUGGAUAAGAUUUUUUAAAUCGUUCUCGUUGCGCCACGUGUCAUUUUAUAAAAAAAACAAUUAUUUAGCGAUGGAUUUCGAUAAGAUUUUUAUCCAAUGUCAUCGUGUCACAUGUCGUUAUCUUUUGAUAAUCUUUGACGAUAUCUUUCGAUCAGAUUUUAACUCGUUCAAAAUUGCGUCACGUGUCAUUAUUCGAAAAGAUAAUUAUUGGAGAUCGAUUUCGAUAAGAUUUUUAUCCAAUACGAUCUUGUCACGUUUCAUUAUCUUUCAUAAUAUUUGAGGAUAGAUUUCGAUCAGAUUUUUAACGAAUGACGGCAUGCCACGUGGCCUUAUCUACAAUCCAAUCCUUUCUGAAUCAUCCAUAUAAUCCACCAUCCAUCCUCACAAAUCUCACACCAAAUUUCUCAACAUUUCUAUCUCAUUAUUCAUAGUUUCUGCUUCUUCUUCACCAUCCAUCAUUACAAUGUCUUCUUCUUCAUCAAGGAUGAUGUGGGAAAUCGAUCAGCAAGAGGAAGAAUUGUUUAACCAAUCUGAAGGAAUGUUCAACCUUCAGAUAGCCGAAAAUGAGAUGGAUGAGGAUGAGGAGCGUAGAAGGAGAGACGACGAAACAAGAAUGGCCAGAGCCUCACAUUCCCGUUGAGUCAUCCAGACUGUUGCUCAGAUAUGCAUGCCCAACCGUUCAAGAAACCUUGGUAGAAGCAGGCAACGAUGGGGUGAAGAGCUAUUGGACGAUUACUUUGUCCAUAACAGUGCAUUUCCUGAUACGUACUUCAGACGUCGUUUUAGAAUGGAACGACAUUUGUUCAACAGAAUCAUGACUGAUGUUUACAACCAUGAUUCUUACUUUGUGCAAAAGAAUGAUGCUUGUGGUGUUAUGGGUUUCCUGCCUGAGCAAAAAAUCACUGUUGCGUUGCGGAUGCUUGCGUAUGGAGCAUCUGUAGACCAAGUGGAUGAGAUAACGAGGAUGGGGAAAUCAACCAUUCUUGAGGCCCUUAUGAGGUUUUGCGGAGCAGUCGAAUCUUUGUACACCGCAUAGUACCUCCGAAAACCUACUUGUAGGGACUUGCAAAGGCUUCUGAAGAAGGGCGAGAUGCGAGGUUUUCCUGGGAUGAUAGGAAGCAUCAAUUGUAUGCACUGGACGUGGAAAAAUUGUCCAAGUGCAUGGCAAGGCGCAUAUGGGGACAUAAAAGGAUCAAAAACUAUCAUUUUGGAGGCAGUGGCAUCUUUUGAUACAUGGAUAUGGCACGCCUUUUUCGGGGUUCCGGGGGCUCAAAAUGAUCUCAACGUCCUUGCCCAAUCCCCAGCGUUCAACGACAUCCUGCAAGGAAAGGCACCAAAAGUCACGUACAUCGUCAACGGACGUAGGUACGACGGGCCAUACUAUCUAGCUGACGGCAUUUACCCACGGUGGGAAACAUUUGUCAAAACAGUGCCACGUCCGCGAAGUGCAAAGGAAAAACACUUUGCAAGCUGUCAAAAGGGGUGCAGGAAGGAUGUGGAGCGUUGUUUUGGUAUCCUUCAAGCUCGUUGGGCGAUCGUCAGGGGUGCUGCCAGAAUGUUCGAUGUAGAGUCACUUUGAUCCAUCAUGAUGACAUGCGUCAUUCUUCACAAUAUGAUUGUGGAAGAUGAGUUCGAUUAUGAUGCGGUUGAUGAAUAUGAGCCAGAGCCAGACACGAUGAACAAUUCAAGAACACGGAUAUAUUGUGCGCAUGAUGCCACCAAAGAACCCGUGCAACAUGAGCCAUUAGAAAGGGAUGAACGUUACAAUGAAAUGGUCAUUCAACGAUAUACUGCACUUCAAAUGUCAUCUAUGCACAAUGAUCGGCAAAUUGACUUGAUAGAGCACCAGUGGACAUUAAAACAAGCUGAAGAUACUUAAGUUUAUUUAGUAUGUUUGUUUGUAUUUGGUAUGUUUAUGUAAUUUUAUUUGGUGUGUUUUUUGUAGUGAGUUUUUUAUUAUUUCGUAUGUUUAUGUAAUUUUAUUUGGUGUGUUUAUGUAAUUCCAAUUGGUAAGAAAAUAUGAAAUUGUGGUGUAAGGUAGAUGGAGAAGAAGUGGUAUUUAUAGAAAAGUAAAAACAAUUUUUUACAAAUUUUUUUUUUUAGAUUUUUUACAAUUUUUUCGGAUUUUUUCCAUUUUUUUUAAUUUUUUUUUCAAAUAAUUAAUCUCUGCCGUUGGAUUUAAAAAAAAUUGAAUUCCAACACUCCAGAUUGUGCCACGUGUCACAACGGUAAUUUUUCUUAAUUUUAAAACUAUUUUUUCUUUAUUUAUAAAGCAUAUUAAUAUCGACCGUUGAUCUGAAAUCGAACGGUUGAUAUUAAAUAAGAUUUGUUUUAUUUUUUUUACCGUUGAGAUCCAACAGUCCAAAUGAAAGAGCCGUUGAGAUCGAACGGACCGUGGGAAACCACGUGGCUUCCCAAUGGUAACUGAGACAACUGCAAAAGUGGGCUGCUUUUCUGAAAAGCUGUCAGGCGACGCGCCCCCACGCGCGAGUGGGGUGCACGCGCCUGACAAAAAAAAAAAAAAUGGGUGAAGAGCUCGGGCUCACGGCUGUCACAAAUUGACAGGCCUUCUGCUCGGGCCUUCUCCACGAGCUCGGGCUCUUCAAGACUGGAGCUGAUUGACUAGCCCUCGGGCCUUUCUUUUCCCCUGUCCCCCGGCCUACAUGCAUGGGUGGAGUUGCUCUAAGAGAAGGGAUUUCCAUUCUUGUUUUUUUAAAUGUGGACACCUUUUUUACUGUUAGAUUUGACUUUAACGAAAUUUUGUGGUUGAGAUUAAAUCACAAACCACAGAAUCUCAACCAUAGAAUUUCAUUAAAGCUAUAUUUAACGAUCAAUAGGGUGUUCCCAUUUUUUUUGAAAAAUAGGAAUCCCUUCCCUUAAGGCUUUCAGUAUAUUAUAUACACUAAAACUCAAUUGAUGAACACUGUUCAUUAACAGUGAUUUUACGUUUUAGCCCCUGUUUUGCUGUUUGUUUGCCCUUUUAUUUUUCGAUCUUAACAGUAAAAUGACAGUUUUGCCCGUUCUUUCCACGCGUCAGUCAUCGUUGAGCUCUUCACUUCAAGAGUCUUCUUUUAGGUUUAGCCUUUUCUUUGCACUGGUGAUUCUCUGAUUUCGUCUCUUCGUCUCGCCCUCUGUUUUUUCUCAAAUCCUCCAUUCCUCUCAAAUAUUCCGUUCUUUAUUUCACAAAAUAUUCAGGAGAAAGUUCCUGAUUUUCGUGUUUUAAGGGAUAUAAUGAUUUGGUGUUGUUUAUCUCAAACAGCGGGCUUGCAGGUAAAAUGUUAAGCUUUAUGUCCAAAGCAAUCUUUCUCUGCAUGCUGACUGUGUGUUGAUUUGAAGGGGUGGUUUAGUGAAUGGGUGCUUCUUAUUUUUGGCCUUUCUCUAUUAUCAUAUAUGUUUCUCUAUUCUCAGGUAUCAGAUCAUUCGAAACAAAAACAUUUUAACGUUAUUUUUGCAGGUUAAUGUUGGGUUUGAGUCCAACACGAUAUACACUUGAACAGAGUAGAGUAGAAGACAGUAUGCAAACAUGAUUUAGGACACAGUUUACCUAAUUGUAAACACUCUGUGAAAUAUUAUUAGUUAUGAACAUCCAAUUUGAAUCCCCCACAUGCUAAAUUAGGUACCAUUAAAUUAGUUUUAUGUCUUUUUUUUAUUUGAAAGCUGCUUCUUAUUUCUGUCUCUAUUAAGAUUCUGGGGUGUGCUUUGGAUUUGCUACAUAUGGUCAUAUUUUUUGUCAUUGGCUUUUUGUUCUGCUUAGUUUUUUUUAAUCGAGUGUUUUAUCUGGUAUUUCAUUUUGUUUUGUUUAUUUGUUUCCUUUUUAUGUUUAAAUGUUUUUUGUUCUUUCUAAAUUUGGGCUUCUGGGAAAUUCUUGCUCACUGUUUGGAUUCCGAGAAAAUUUAGGGGAUGUCCAGUAAUAUUCACAUCCUGAAAACUCAGUGAAAAUAGAUACCAAUUUAUGUGCAGCUGAAAAUUUUGUUAUCUGAUUCUGUUCUAAAUAACAUGAUUUAUUUGUUUUUUAAACUUUUAAUUAUUUCGUAUUUAUUUUGUGAUUGCAGAUGUUUAAAUGAUGGAGAGUUUCGCAAAGCUGUUACUCGGAGGAGACAUGUCUAGAUGAGGGAAAGGUGUCUCCACUGCCCUUGCUAUCUCAAAUGCCAUCACCAAUCUCUCUGGUUAGUCACAUUCCUCUUGGAAUAUGCAUAUUCUUAUGUGAUGUUGGCUGAUACCUUGGUGAGUCAACUUAAUAAAAAAUGUGAGAUGGACAAAUUGAAAAGUCUAUUUUCUUCUCAUAUGCAUCCUUUAACAUAUGUCAGUUUUAAUUAUUGAUGAGCAAUUGAAAAUUUAGUUUUUCUUCUCAUGGUACACUUACAUUGGUAGUUCAACAUAUGUUUGUUUAACAUAUCUUAUUAAAUGCAUUUGAGAAUCGAUUGAAGAAACUCAGUUCUUUUAGCAAUUAAGAACAAGGUAAACAUAGUUGUAAAUAUGUGUAAAUAAGAUAGGAAUUUUGAUGAAUUUAUGUUUUUUCCUCCGUUUUUCAGUGUUUUCAGGCAUUGAAGCUAAAUAUGGAGAGGGUUUUGAGACUUUUAGACCUAUUGGACCUCUCAAGGUUUGCGUGGUAAGGAGUUUAUGGAGUUAUACGCAUAGUAGGCAUUAUAUUUUAUGUUCUGUUGAAUUUAAUUUAAUGGUUAUAUUUUAUGCUCCUAUGAGUUAUUACUGUUAUGUUUACUCUGAGUAGGAUUUGUUGAACGACAAACUGCAAGGAGGUUUUCUUAAACGAAUAUGAUAUGCUAUGAAACCGAAUGAAGCUUACUGUCUUCUAUUCUCUUUUGUUAAUUUCGUGGUAAGUUUCUAUAACACUGAUUAGUUAUGUCUUCGAGGUUCUAAUGGCUAGAUAUGCUAAUGUAAUGAACUAUGGAAUAUUGUAAUAGUUUAUGGUCAAUGUGAUCCCAUAUCUGUUUGAUUGAAAUAUUGUUCUAUAACAGGUUUAAACUUUGUUUUUCCAAUACCUUAUCACAAAAUAAUUCCACCUUGGACAAAUUACAAGGUAUGCUGCAACAUGUGCUUUGAUUAAUUGCAUUCAAAUUGAUACUGCUUAAGAAUGCAUUUGAACAUGUUGAAUUUCACGCCCGCAGCAUCGCGCGGGCAAUAUUGCUAGUAUAAUAUAUAAUUGGGUGAUAAAGAGAGUAGGUGAAAGAACACAAUUUGCUCUUAAAAAUGUUGUUUUUAAGAACGAGUGAUUUUUCUUUUCUGACUCUUUCUGUCUAACCCAAAAGCAUACUGGUAAUAGGGUCCAGUAAGAAAAUUAUUUUUAGAAAUUAAACAUGAAAAAAUACAAAAUUUACAAUUUCGAAUUAUACAAAAAAGACAAAAAAAGCGCAAAAUAAAAAGAGCAGGACAGAAAAACAGAAACAAAAGAAAGGAGACACUAAGAAUACAAAUAGCGUGAUUUGAGCCCUCAAUUUUGGCAGGCAACAUGAUUGUUAACGCAUGAUUGUGAACCCAUCCAUUGAAGAAAGAAGCAUCAUAAUACACAAGAGUCAAGACUGGGCUUGGUUUAUAUAAUGAAUAAUGUUAGGGAGAUCAAAUUUUUUAAACUAAAUUUGUAAAUUAAAUGAUGUAGUUAUAGAUGAUUGGGUUAUUACUAAGUGUCGAUUAAUAUGUUUAUUUCUUAUUGGUGACAUAUCAUUUGGUUUAAAAAUUUGGUCUCCCUAGCAUUAUCCUUAUAUAAUUAAUCAAUAAUAUUCCAUAACAAGAGCUAGGUCCAUAUAUUACGAGGUUAUAAAAUAUGCUAGGUGCUAGUCGAGAGGCGGGCGGGGCCUAAGCAGAUUUAAGUAAAUUUAUUAUAUAUUGUAUAAAUAAAUGCCUUUUUAUACUUAAAAUGACACACAAUUGUAUCGAAAUAUAUAAAUUGCAAAAUAAAAUGACAUAUAGAUUAUAAAUUACUAGAACAUAAUGAACAAUCAUAUAAUGAGGGUUUAUCCAAAUAUUUAUUGGAAAACAAAAAACAAAAUGAGUGUUAUCGAUUUUCUGUCUAAAUGAAAGUUGCGGGCUAGGCAGGUUUAAGUGGGUUAGGCGGACGCCUAAGCAAGUCUAGAGCACUUUCUUAAUUUUUAAAUGAUUAGGGACUAAUUAGGGUGGUGGACAACUGCCUAGCGCUAGACAUGGGUUUUUAGAACAGUAAUUACUUGUUCUCAUAGAUCUCUGGGUUCAAGAAAAUUAUGAUCACCUAUUGUUCGAUCUUAAUACCGUCGGUAAGCGGUUAUUUAACCAUUUUUUAUAUUGAGUAAUUUUCCUGGAUCCUGAAAUCUAGAAGAACAAAACUCUUAUGUCACAUGGAUAAACAUAAUCAGGCAUAAGAAAAAGGUUGAAGAAUUCAUAAGUCAUAUAGGGGGCGUUUGUUUGCCCUCACUAAGUAUCACUGGACUAACUAUUAGUCCAGUCCCGUGUUUCUUCUGUAGAGGGAUUAUGUUUCAUGAGACUAAAGGGGAGUCACACGGACAAACUCCUUCACUAGGAGUUCUUAGCGAGAUCCCCCAAUGCCCAUGGGAUUGCUAAGACCUCGUAUACUCCAUCUUUGUAUGCUAUGUCUCAUCCUCUCUAUGCUCUCUAUUAUCUUGAGCACCAUCACACCACAACUCACCAACUCCAGUGAGAUCACACCACCAACCCACCACCACUUUCUCCCUCUCUCUUCACAUGAACCCAAAAUUUCGAACUGAGGAAGAUCCCGUUCUUACAGUAAUUCGUCCAGCUCUAGCUGUCUGCUUCGCUUCGCUGCACUUCAAACUCGACCUUGGACUCGUCUGAUUCGCUUUGAACUCGACCUCGUAUUUGUCGACUUUACGCAAUUGACGAGAUCUUGUGAACUUGAUGAUGGGUGAGCCACCCAGUGCACUUGAAGGAAUAUGGGAGGCCAAGAACGCCAAAGCCUACGACGGCAAUGAAGACGUUGGCUGGAUUGGGAUGACAGCGACGUGUUCCACAUCAAGGGCAGCGGCUUGGGAUUCUUGUUUUCAUUUGGUUUUGAUUUAAAUUAGGUUUUGAUUUCGAAUUGGGUUUGAUGUGAUCUGGUAUUGGCAUUUGAUUUGCUCUGUAAUUGUUUGAAUGUGUGGAAUAAAUUUUGGGGAAAGAGGAAGAAAAUUUAGAAAAAGAAAAAUAGACUAAAUAAUAAAAUAUUAAUAUAUAUUAGAUUAAAUAAUAUCAUAUUAGAAUUUAUUAUUAUCCUACUUCUUGGUCCGACACUGCACCAAACGCUUUACUAAGCUAAUCCAACUUAGUCUAGUCUAAGUCAAUCCAGCUUAGUUCCUGAAGUUAGUCUAGUCCAAGACAAUCCGGUGCAACAAACACAUUCAUAGAGUAAUUAUAGGGAUACUAAAUUUGUAAAUAAAAUUUUGUAAACUAAAUGACAUGGAAGUUGAUCGUUGAAUUAUUACUUAAACGUUAAUAAAUGUACUCAUUAUCACUAAAGACACGUUAUUUAAUUUGUAAAUUUUAUUUAUAAAUCUAAAGCAUUACCCAAACUCAUAAUACAAAUAGCUACUUUGAGAGAAGAAAAGAUGGAGAGUGAUAUGAUUGCAUUCUUUUUUAAAGCAACUUCUGAAGAUUCCAUAAUAAACUAUUAUUAUAUAUGAAGAUGUGCCGUGGUAAAAGAGAGGAAAAAAUGAAUGGAAAGUUUAUCCAAAAGAUUCUUGACCGUGAUUACAACUAUUUAACUUUUGUAAAUUUUCAUGGACCGAGAUCCAAGAAAAGAUGGAGAGUGAGAUUGGCAUUCUUUUUUGUAAAGGGAUUUUUUUUCCGAUCCCUUCCAUCUAAUUCACCUGAGUCAACCAUUUGAGUUCUUGAAAUUUAUUUAAACAACUAAAAUUAUUAUAACUUUUAAUGAAGCCCCUAUUUGUAGUCGUUAAAUCAAAUUUUAAAGAUUCGAAUUAGUGAAUUAGGUGGAUUAGGUGGAAGGGAUCCGAAGAAUAUCAAUUUCCUUCUUUUUCAACACAACUUUUGUUGAGUCCAUAAUAAACUAUUAUAUGAAGAAAGAAUACUAAAAAGACUCUCUCAAAAUCGAAACUUUUUGCGAACUUUUUAGCAUCUCAUGUUUUUGAGAUUAAUAACUAACAUUAUCUGAGAUUUAUUAAGUUUUCACAAAAUUCCCUUACGUAUGAGAUAUUACGCUAACAACACUUUAGUGUAAUGUCUCAAACGUAAUGGGACCUUGUAAAAUUUGAUUAACUUCGACAGUAUUAGUAUAUUUUUAUGUAAAUAUUAUAAAAUAUUAUGUUAAAUACAUUAAAUAACAGAUAGUCUUUAAGAGAGAUUUCUUACAUCUUUCUAAUGGAUACGGACGGUGGAAAAAGAUCAUUCCAUAAUUAAAUAUUGUGCUGUUGAUUACGCGUCUCUCCAUUUGACUAAGUUCCUUUUCACAUUCUUCCCUAAAUAAAAUGGUUCACUUUUCACAUUAUUACAAUAUUUAUAUUUAUAUUUUUACAAAAGGGAUUCGUCUAAAUUAAAUUUUUCGAAAAAUUUCGUAUAGUGAGUGAAAGUGAAACACUCCCUUUGUUAUGAUUAUGACAAUAUUUAUAUUUUUACAAAAGGGAUUUAUCUAAAUUAAAAUUUUCAAAAUUCCGAACAAGAUUUGAACUUUCGUGUAUAUGAAUAUAUGGAGUAAAUUGAUCAUGGCUGAAAAUAUGGCAGUGGUUGUGUUUGUGUUGCCUAACGGAUGAUAUUGAAAUACCUAAACACAAGUCAAGCUCCUUCAGUUAACAAAAACAGAAGUUUAUAAUAUGAUAAUGUUGGCGCACGGACUUGAGAAACAACAUAGGCCGGGAAUGUGCACAAAAAGUAAGAGAGAGGUAAAGAGGAAAGAAACGAACAUGAAAGAACAAAGACUAUCGAAUACAUUAUAAAACAAUGACUUCUUGGUAGUCAUUACAUCUCAACCAUCAAUAAUGCAUUAAUUUUGGUUGAAAUGUAGAAGUAUUUGAGAAGUAGCAUGACAACAACCACAUAAUAAACAAAAGUGGACGCAAAUGUGAAAGGAUAAUUAAAAACAAUUAUUCAAGAUGGGCGGUAGUUGAUUCAGCCAUUUAGAAGAUUCAAACCUAGAAUCAUUAUUGUAUUAACUAUUAACAGGUGCUAUAAUAUAGUUCUUAGGGAUUUCAAGGAGGCAUAUGGGGGACUACAUAAUGUGCAAUAGGAUUAAACUUUUUUUGUUACUAGGCAAAUGAACCAUAUUGAAAAAAGUUGAGGUUUAACCAUAAAAUUAAUUGACGAUAUAAAAAGUAGCUCAACCUCUUAUAAGCGUUUGCAAGAUUUCUCUUUUGACCUAUACAAGACUCUUUUACUUUCACAUCCUCGAACAUAUAAUACACCCAAAUGGAUGCCAAUAUAUAAACAUUGUUUUGAAAGGACAAGGGAGCUAACAGUGUCUUUUUAUAUGACUUGGACUUGGAGUACGGGCUGCAAAUUGCAUGCAAUUGCAACGAGAGCCAAAGAUAAUUGCCUUGUCCUUCAAAUUUGUUGGUAAAUUGGGGAUUGCACGAAGAUUUUCGCACUAAUCUGAAUACAGUGUUUCAAGCUUUUAAAGACCACUGAAGCUUUGAAAACUCUGUUGAUUUUACUUCCCAAGUAAGUGACAUAAAACUAAAUUGGGCAGUUGCAUGACAACAACCACUUAAUAAUCAAAAGUGAUUCGAAAAAGACCGAAAGUGAGAUGACCGCAUUCUUUUUCAGACAACUUUGGUAGAUUCCAGAAUAAACUAUUAUACAUGAAGAUGGGCGGUGGUAAUUGUCCUUUUGAUUAAAGUUUUUUGAGUCGAAAAUCAUUUUUCUAUAAUUAAUUCUUAACUAGAAAUUUGUACCAGUACACCGUUGUGGGACUGAAAAUCUUAUGAAAUAUUUUAUAACUUUAAUUUUCAUAAAUAAUGUGCGAGUGAAAAACAAAAAAUUACGAAUGGUAAUGCAAUUUAUAUGUAACCUUAUCAUGAACGGAACAAAUUUAGAUACUAAAAGAAAAAUUAAAAAUCUAUUUUUUCAAAGUGCGAAGAGAUAAUUGUUUAUUAAAAAAGUUGGACCAAUGAUAACUGCAUAAAUUACAAAUGCAAUAUUAAGAGUAUACCAGUCAAACUAAGCUUGCUACAGGCUAAACAAUGUUGAAAAACAUCAUUAGCUUUUUCAAGUGUUAUAUGCAAUGAAUGUAAUUAGCACGAAACUAGCACGAAACUGCAGAGGCUUUCGAUCCAUUAUAAUAUAAAAUAAAUAAUAAUAUUUACGUAUAAAAUAUGAUAUGAUUAUAUGAAAGUAACGACCCAAAUCUUAUUGGAGCUAAUUAACUAAUGUAUGCUCAUCAGGCAGCUGGAUUCCUUGGCAAGUGUUUAACCCCUACUUUCUUCACGCUCACAGAAUCACCAUUUGCAAAGUCAAUCGGCCUCACACCAAUAAAAACUUAAUCCCCGGCUAGUAAACUGAUCAGCUUAUCGUCCGAUAUAUGUCACUGCAAAGAUAAUCACCUUGUCUUUCAAAUUUGUUGGUAAAUUGGGGAUUGCGAGAAGAUUUUCGCACUAAUCCAAAUAUAUUGUUUCGAGCUUUGAAUGACCACUGAAGCUUUGAAAAGUCUGAUGGUUUUGUUAGGUCAUGUGUAUGACUAACGUUAAUGAUUUUCAACUUCCCAAGCAACUGUUACACAACUAAAUUUAAAAUCCAAGAGGAGGAUAUGAUCAGAGAAGAAAGAAAUGCAAUCCACUAAUAAUCAACAUCGAUAUUGUCUUCAACUUAAUCAUGAAUAAGUUUUAAGGCACAAAAGACCUCAUGCUUUUGUAGUUGAGCCAUUUAAUGUAAGGAGAAUCACAAUGUUAGUUAACCACAUCACAGUACAAAAGCACUAAAAGCGUCCAAGUGAAAGUGAAAGUGCUUUCUUCUCAUGUAGUUUCAUUUAACUUAAUUUUCCACAAUGGUAAUUAUGUUUCAAUGGUUCUGUUUUCACAUGCCAGUCGGUCAGUCACAUACUCAACUCCUUAAUGUUCGGGCUCAAUGGCUCGAAGAGAGCUUCCACUUCACUCUGAUUCACCUCCUCUAACUUUGACGGAUUCCACUUCGGAUUCUGCAUUGACAAGAAACAGAAGCCAGAGAUAAAGAUUCGUUGAUAUACGGAAAGUAAGAUGAUUAUACAACCGUAGGUCUAGUAGAGGCUGUAAUGGUUUAUGUUGCAGCAACUGCGUCAGCAAGUGAUUUUAUAGCAAGGAAUCUUGAGCAUAAUUAACGAACCUGAUCCUUGUCCACCAAAACUGCCGUACACCUUCAGCAAAAUCAUUCCGUAAAGACGAUCUUAUAGCAACGUGAUAUUCAGUUUCAUCACACCAGUUAACUGGUAUUGGUCAAGUAAAGCACAUGUUACUUUCUGAAAAUUUGAAAUACUACAACGCAAAACCUAUCAAAAGGAUGCAACCAUGUGAUGCAAGAAACGAAAAGGUACAAAGUCCAGACUCACUCUGGAUAAUUGAUUGUCAUUUUUCCCAAGCACGGAUGCAACUUUAGCGAAAUAAUUUUGUGUCAAAAAAGUGAAAACAGAGCACCCUUUCCAAGACCUUAAAGAGCUUCGUUAGCCCACUCACCACUGCAAUACAAACAAUUUAUACAAAAUACUUGACAGCGACAUACAAGCUGCUCAAUAGACAAAUGGCAUUAAAAAACUUACCAGUAGCAUCUGAACUCUGAUGCUGCUUUUUAAGUUCAUCAAUUGUCUCAAGAACCAACUUAUCUGCACCAAAUGCUGAAGUUAUUUGAGGUAAAAGAGUCUUGAGUUGCGCUUCAGAAUCUGGGUAGCUGGUGAAUUUCACCACAAUUGUUUCAAUGUCCUGAUGGGGAUCCUGGGAACUGAUUCAACAAUGGAGUUGCUUUUAUCUCAAGAAACGCAUUGGACAAUGUGAUGAUGGCAACUAAAGUUAAACCCACUGAAGCAUUGGAAAUUGCGUCUGAGGAUAGAAAAGGCAUACCUGCAGAUACUCCUCCCAGACUCUUUGCCUCUAUAUGUGAAAACCCAUCUGGGAACAAACCAAUUCCAUUCUCUGGCAUAGCAAGAACAGUCCUCAGAAAUGUAUCCAUACAAAGUUUGACACACAAAAUUAAAAAAGCCAUUGCAAUGUAAUUGACAACAUUGACAAUCUCUGUCUGACCGGGCAAUAAUGCCUCUGUAAUGAUCCGGUAGCGACUGUGACCUGAUAGGCCAAUACCAAAGCCCACUGUUAUGCCAUCCAUGAAGCUUAUAUGGGCUUCUUGUACUCGGAGAUAUUGCAUAUUAGAGAAUACUCAGCAGUGAAUACCUGAAAAACGUGCAGCACAAAUAUCAUAUCGGUAGCCUCUCAAAUCUUAAGAAAACUACAAAUGGUAGCUUAGAAAAGAAAUGAAUCCUCUCCAACCAAUACAAAUCAUAUUACCCAAGUUCAAGCAAAAUCAAGACUAAACAAAUGACCAGAUGUUGUAGGUUGCCAGAGAAUGUCAAACAUGAAAUUACAAAAGAAAAAAAUAAUCGUAUGUAUUGAACAUUAAUAAAUACAUGCUGAAAGCACAAUCUUAGCCGCAAUUUAUGACAUUUAUACAAGAUUAAAUCGCCAAAGAAAUUAAAGAAAUUGCAGAGCUCAUAUAAGUGAUGUUCACUAUGAACUUUUAGGCUUAUCAACAAAUACACCAUAACGAUUCUAAUGCAUGAAUUUUGUUAAAGGGGGCUUGCUUGCUUGUAUUAAGGCUUAAUCAUCAAUGAUUUUGCAAGGGUCAAUCGUAUUGCUAGUUGUAAAUCUAUUCACUAUGAAAAUUACCAAAAUUACAUCUAAUAUGGUAGUGAAGGAAGUCAUCUUACAUUAUCUGGAAUUUAGAAAACUGUGUAAGGUUAUAAUAUAUGGUUACAAGGACACAAUUAGACCUCAAUCAUAUUCGGUGGUUGGUUUUUGGCCGUGAUCUGCUUCACAUCACCGCCUGCAGGUAAACUAAAUCUGGGUUACUACAUAUCAAUGAAUCAACGUGCCAACUUAACGGACACCAUCUAUCUCUAUAUGGCAAAAAAAACAACACAAAAAGGAACAUGAAGUGAAACAAUAAACAACAUGACAUGAAACAGCACGAACAUCAAAGACCAACAAUCUAUCACGUAAGCACCUAAACAAGAAACAACUUUAGUUCAAAGCAAAGCGUAAUGUAGAAACCUUCGGCACAACAGGUGUGUUUUUGUCCUUUCGAGUUUCGGCAACAACCACUUUAAUAUCCUUUCCUGCAUUUACCAUGAUUGGUCACUCUUAAAACCUUAACUCCGCCGUGUAAGUUUAUCUUACAUUGCCGGUCCCAAGCCCGGAUAAAGGAGGAGGGGGAGGGCGUCAGGUAGUCGACAGCCGGCACUCCAUGAUUACGUCGAAUCCUUACGAAAAUGAAUCCAGAACGAAAUCGCGCUAAAGCUAGGGCGUCACCCGUAAGUGGCGCGCUGUGUGGCCCGAGCACAGUGAUAAGUGAGCAAGGGUCGCUAUAUCUCCAUCGGCACCCGGAUGCAGUGUUAAAUGAGCAAGGGGGCUAUAGAAACUUCUUUUCGAACGACUCCACUCAAAGUUGUUUGGGAGCAUAUGCUCCUAUCAACUUUACACGGGACACACAAAAGAAGUACUUUGAUCCUAUUAGACGGGGAAGGGUGAAGAAGCUAGGACAGAAGGGUAGAGUUCAAGAGAGCAAAAUGCGUUUAGGAACGUGGAAUAUAGGAACCUUGACGGGAAAAUCUAUGGAAGUAGUAGCAGUUAUGGUGAGGAGAAGGAUAAAUAUUAUGUGCCUACAAGAAACUAAGUGGGUUGGGCGUAAGGCAAAGGAUCUAGAAAACUCAGGGUUUAAACUAUGGUAUUCGGGCACAAAUAGAACGAGAAACGGUGUUGGCAUCAUCGUGGACAAGACCUUGACACAAGAUGUUGUAGAUGUUAAGAGGGUAGGAGAUAGAAUCAUGUCAAUCAAGAUUGUAAUAGGACAAGAACUUAUCAAUGUGAUUAGUGCGUACGCACCUCAAGUAGGGUUGGAUACGAGUUCGAAGGAGAAAUUUUGGGAAGACCUUGGAGACUUGGUGCAAGGAAUUGCUCAGACGGAGAAGUUAUUUAUAGGAGGAGAUUUAAAUGGACACGUGGGCAGGGAGACAGACAACUAUGGAGGUUUUUAUGGUGGCCAUGGUUUUGGGGAGAGAAAUGAGGAUGGGGAAGCUAUCUUGAAUUUUGCAAUGGCAUAUGAUCUCUUCUUAGCCAACACCUUCUUUAAGAAGAGAGAAGAACAUGUGAUCACCUACAAGAGUGGGUCGUCAAAAACACAAAUAGAUUUUCUCCUAAUGAGGAAAGGGGAUCGUAUAACUUGUAAGGAUUGCAAAGUUAUACCAGGAGAGAGCGUGGCUAAUCAACAUCGCUUGUUGGUGAUGGAUGUAAAUAUCAAAAGAGUGAGAAAAAAGAACAAGACUUGGAAGUGCCCAAGGACUAGAUGGUGGAAUCUAAAAGAAGAAAAACAAGCCAUUUUCAAAGAGAAAGUAAUCACCCAGUGUGUGUGGGAUAGAGAGGGGGAAGCUAACCAAAUGUGGGAUUCCAUGGCUAGUUGUAUCCGAAAAGUAGCAAAAGAGGUAUUAGGAGAGUCCAAGGGCUUUGCCCCACACCAAAAGGAAUCUUGGUGGUGGAAUGAGGAGGUACAAACAAAGGUGAAGGCUAAGAAGGAAUGUUGUAAAGCCUUAUACAAGGAUAGGACCGAUGAAAAUGGUGAAAGGUAUAGAAAAGCGAAGCAAGAGGCGAAGAAAGCUGUGAGAGAAGCUAAGUUAGCGGCUUAUGACGAUAUGUAUAAGCGACUAGAUACCAAAGAAGGAGAGUUGGAUAUCUAUAAACUAGCUAGAGCAAGGGAAAAGAAAGACAAGGGACCUAAACCAAGUGAGGUGCAUCAAGGAUGAGGAUGGAAAGGUUCUUGCUACAGAGAACGCGGUUAAAGACAGAUGGAAAGGUUAUUUUCAUAAUCUUUUCAAUGAAGGACAUGAAAGGAGUGCUUCUUUAGGGGAGUUGAGUAACUCAGAAGAGUGUAGAAACUACUCUUUUUUAUCGUAGAAUUCGGAAGGAAGAAGUGGUUGUAGCUUUGAAGAAGAUGAAGCAUAGAAAAGCAGUAGACCUAGACGAUAUACCAAUUGAAGUGUGGAAAGUUUUGGGAGAGACAGGUAUAACAUGGCUCACUGACCUUUUCAAUAGGAUUUUGAAAACGAAGAAGAUGCCAAAUGAGUGGCGAACGAGCACUUUGGUGCCUAUCUACAAGAAUAAGGGUGAUGUACAAAAUUGCAUGAACUAUAGGGGUAUUAAGCUAAUGAGUCAUACAAUGAAGCUCUGGGAGAGAGUCAUUGAGCAUAGAUUGAGGCAAGAGACACGGGUUUCGGACAACCAAUUCGGGUUCAUGCCAGGGCGCUCAACCAUGGAGGCAAUCUAUCUCUUACGAAGAUUGAUGGAAAGAUAUAGAGAUGGGAAAAAGGAUUUACACAUGGUCUUUAUAGAUUUGGAAAAAGCGUAUGAUAGGGUCCCAAGAGACAUUCUUUGGAGGAUUUUAGAGAAGAAAGGAGUACGAGUAGCAUAUAUCCAAGCUAUACAGGAUAUGUAUGAAGGAGCAAAGACUGCCGUAAGAACUCAUGAAGGACAAACCGAAAGCUUUCCCAUAACUGUAGGAUUACAUCAAGGCUCAUCCUUAAGUCCUUACCUUUUUGCGUUGGUAAUGGAUGAGUUAACAGGACAUAUUCAAGAUGAUAUUCCUUGGUGUAUGCUUUUCGCAGACGAUAUAGUGUUGAUAGAUGAAACUCAGGAAGGGGUAAAUGCAAAGCUUAACCUUUGGAGAGAAGUGUUGGAAUCUAAAGGUCUUCGCCUAAGCCGAUCAAAGACAGAAUAUAUGGAGUGCAAGUUCAGUGCAAAUGGAGGCCAAAACGAGUUAGGGGUGAGGAUCGGAGAUCAAGAAAUACCAAAGAGCGACCGUUUUCGUUACCUAGGAUCUAUCUUGCAAAAGAACGGAGAAUUAGAUGGAGAUCUCAACCAUAGAAUACAAGCUGGAUGGAUGAAGUGGAAGAGAGUGCAUCCGGCGUAUUGUGUGACCGCCGUAUGCCACUGAAGCUCAAGGGAAAAUUUUAUAGGAACGGCAAUAAGGCCGGCGAUGCUGUAUGGCACAGAAUGUUGGGCGGUGAAGCAUCAACACGUACACAAAAUGGGUGUAGCGGAGAUGAGGAUGCUUCGUUGGAUGUGUGGGCACACGAAGAAAGGAUAAGAUUAUGGAAUGAGGAUAUCCGGGGUAAAGUAGGAGUAGCCGAAAUUGAAGGAAAGAUGAGAGAAAAUCGGUUACGGUGGUUUGGACAUGUGCAAAGAAGGCCUACUGACGCUCCGAUUAGAAGAUGCGACUAUGGGACAGAGGUUCAGGGCCGAAGGGGUAGAGGAAGACCUAGGAAAACUUUGGAAGAGACCCUAAGAAAAGACUUAGAGUACUUGGAUCUAACGGAGGACAUGACACAGGACAGAACACAAUGGCGUUCUAAGAUUCAUAUAGCCGAUCCCACUCAGUGACUUGGAUUUUCCAAGUCUCCAACCGAGAAGUUUUCCUCACUCGGGAAAUUAAGGGAACACUACCUCAACCUACAUGCUCCACUCACAAAGCUUCAACAAAAGAAAAAUUCAAAGAACUUAGCGAAGAAGGCUUUUGGUGUAUUUAACACAAUACGUUGAAAUGAAGGAAAGCUUAUUUAUUGAUAUCCCCGAUAAGUUACAAAUAUGUACAUAUACUUGAGUCAAAAUAAACAAACAAGAGGGAGCCUUCACAAAGGUUGCUUAGGAGAAGUCUCAGCAGUCGGUAGAGCCCCAGAAAGAGAAGGCACCGGAGGGGGAUCAUUCGGAGCCUCAGUACUGGACAGAACCCUAGAAGGAGGAGGCAUCAGAGGUUGAUCAUUUGGAGCUUCAUUACGCGGUACAGCCCCAGAAGACGAAGGCAAUAAAUGCCUUUGGAACAAACCCACAAAUCUCUGAUGAUCAAGUAAAACCUGACCAUCAGAUUCCUUCAUCUGGUCAAGCUUCCUCUUCAUGUUUGUAGCAUAGUCAUGUGCGAGCCGGUGCAACUGUUUAUUCUCAUGCUUGAGCCCUCUAAUCUCCUGUUUGAGACUCAUCACUUCAGCCGCCAAUGAUUCAACUUGGCGGGUUCGAGCAAAUAGGCGUUGGGCCAUAUUAGACACAGAACCUGCACACUGAACACUGAAGAGCCAGAGAAUCCUUAACAGCCAACUCAUCAGACCGUUUGGAAAGUAGUCUGUUAUCUUUGGGAGUGAGAAGGUUCCUAGGCCACUACCGCAGCGGUCAUAUCAUUCUUCAUCACGGAAUCCCCAACGGUAAGAGGACCAGUAGGGGAGACGAAGGAUGGGCGCCAUAUGUUGUCUGAAGAAGGCGGGGCUGCCUCUUCAACAAGGUUCAAGUCAAAACGACGGUCGGAGGGGCCAGACAUUUUCAAAGGUGUUGAAGAGAGAAGAGGUCGGACAAAUCAAGAUCUUAGAAGUGCAAGAAUGGAGCUUCUACUGGUGGAUAUUCAAGUGUGCUUUGGAACUUAAUGUCAGCCCCUAUAAAAAAUCUGCACUCGACGAAGCUUCAGAAAUCGAAGAGGCGCCUGCUCAGAAAUCGAAGAGGCGUUUGCUUUCUCAAAAGCUGGGCUGCUCAGAGACCACGAGGGUUUGAUCUCAGAAAUCGAAGAGGCGUUUGCUUUCUCAAAAGCUGGGCUGCUCAAAGACCACGAAGGCCGAUCUCAGAAAUCGAAGAGGCUUGCUUUCUCAAAAGCUGGGCUGCUCAGAGACCACGAGGGCCGAUCUUAGAAAUCGAAGAGGCACCUACUUUUCCAGCCUUGUCAGCACCUGUCACACGCACACUCAGCUUUGCGGAAAUUAUGGGCAUUCUGUCGAAGAUUUCUGGUGAAGUAGAAAGCACAUGAAUCGUACUGUUCAAUCACCCACUUCCCACACGCAACAGUAGCUCAUGGGUACCACAGAUAACUUUGCCAAAGUUCUCUGACAAAGUUGAGACACGUGAAGCUUGCAGCUCCCACUACAUCGCUCUGACCAAGAAGGGUAAAAGAAUAGCAAAGAAACAACACUAACAAAGUUUAGACACAUAAAUUUUGAAGGUCUAGCUACCAUAUUAUUACCCACAAGGGUAAAGGAACAGUACCACUGCUGGAUAAUUGGAAAGUCCCGGUGUGUCAACCUCUGUGCUUCGUGGCAAGGUAGACUAGCAAACAUGCCCAACCUUUACUCACAUUCGAGAAAACACUCCCAACAAGAUUGCUUGCUCCAAAAUCGAAGAGGCACCCGCUCCUCCGAAUCUCGAGAGCCAGACUCCCAACAUGAUUACUUUCUCAAAAAUCGAAGAGACAUCCGCUCUCCGAAUCUCGAGAGCCAGACCUCCAGCAGGAUUGCUUUCUCAAAAAUCGAAAAGGCAUCGUUCUCCGAAUCUCAAGAGCUGGAUCCCUGACAGGAUUGCUUGUUCGAAAACCAAAGAGGCACCACUUUCCCAACUUCAAGAGCUGGAUCUCCUUGGAUAAAGCUUGUCUGUAAUCUUCACACACGCAACAUCAGCUUUUCCAGAUACCACAGACCCACUUUUUCAAAGUGCUCUGACAGAGUUAAAACUUGUGAAGCUGGCAGCUCCCACUACCGUGCUAUGACCAAGCAGGGUAAAGGAAUAGCAUUAUUACUUGAUGUUAGGGAGACUCCUAUAUAUGUCGACCUCCAUCCCCAACGGACAGGCAGACCUGCAAAAAUGCUCAACCCUUCCUCUUAUCUGAGAGGGCACUCCCAACGAAGCCUUUCGAAAUAUUCAGCUUUCUUUCCCCCCGAUAAUACCUCUGUAAACAAGCUAUACUAGAGCAAGAAUAUCUCAUAUCAUCAGGGUUAAAAGCAAGAGUAUCCCAUAUCAUGCUUUUUUCCCGUCUUUUCCUUUGGCCUUGUUCUUACCUGCAAGACAAGGAGAAAGAGAGCAAUCAGUCAGCACUUGGAAUCAAGCUUCCAGCCAGGAACUGACUGCCUGGAACCCCUUACCUGAUUACUUACCUGGCAUUGCUCUCGAGUACUCAUCUUCAACAUCUUAUGCUUCCAGGGAAGAUACCGCAAUCGCCUGAAGAACAGAUAGGGCAAGUGAGAAGGAUACAAGGAAGCAUGUGGAGACAAGCGUAACAGCACACGUGCCGAUACAUCCACUACUCUGUCAAAAGCAAAAGUAUCUCAUAUCAGCAGGGUCGAACGUACUCUAGAUUUGAUGGACUUGUUUUGACCCUCAAAUUCUUCAGUCGGCCUUAUACUCUGGAGGAAACCAGAAAACCCUCCAGCCCAGUUCAAGAAUAAGCCUGUGGAAAGUUACUUCUUCAAAAGCAAAAAGUAUCCCAUAUCAUCUCUUCUCAUUUUUCUUCUCUUUAUCCUUCAUGCUGCAUGCAAGAUAGGGAGAAUGUGAACAAUCAGCCGGAGCUCUGAUUGCUUACCUUGUCUGUCAUCUCUUUCAGCAGAUCCCCUAGCUCGGCGACUUAGGGGACUCCUACUACAUGGUUUGUAUCGCGCUUGACCAAGCCUGAAACUACAAGUAAGCUUCAAGUGACAAUUGAUACAUUACCUUGUGCAUCUCCACCAGUUACAGAUACCACCCCUGGAUGGAGGAAGAGUACUUCCAGAGAAGAUGCCACAUCUACCUAUGAGACAGAUAAGGAAAGUCAAGACGAUACCACACUCCGGUACUUAGAAGUUUCGUGGUUACGAGAUCAUUCUCCCACAAUAUUUCCUAAUGUCAUUUGUACUAAAUCAUUCACUUGUACUCACUAAAGGAGAGCUUGAACCUAUGUACUUGUGUAAACCCUUCACAAUUAAUGAGAACUCCUCUAUUCCGUGGACGUAGCCAAUCUGGGUGAACCACGUACAUCUUGUGUUUGCUUUCCUAUCUCUAUCCAUUUAUAUACUUAUCCACACUAAUGACCGGAGCAAUCUAGCGAAGAUCACAAAAAGUGACCGUUUUCGCUACCUAGGAUCUAUCCUUGCAAGAGAACGGAGAAUUAGAUGGAGAUCUCAACCAUAGAAUACAAGCUGGAUGGAUGAAGUGUAAGAGUGCAUCCGGCGUGUUGUGUGACCGUCGUAGGCCACUGAAGCUCAAGGGAAAAUUUUAUUUUAUAGGACGGCAAUAAGGCCAGCGAUGUUGUAUGGCACAGAAUGUUGGGCGGUGAAGCAUCAACACGUACACAAAAUGGGUGUAGCGGAGAUAAGGAUGCUUCGUGGGAUGUAUGGGCACACGAGAAAGGAUAAGAUUGGGAAUGAGGAUAUCCGAGGUAAAGUAGGAGUAGCCAAAAUUGAAGGAAAUAUGAGAGAAAAUCGGUUCCAGUGGUUUGGACAUGUGCAAAGAAGGCCUACUGACGCUCCGGUUCGAAAAUGUGACUACGGGACAGAGGUUCAGGGCCGAAGGGGUAGAGGAAGACCUAGGAAAACUUUGGAAGAGACCCUAAGAAAAGACUUGAGUACUUGGAUCUAACGGAGGACAUGACACAAAACCGAGCGCAAUGGCGUUCUAGGAUUCAUAUAGCCGACCCCACUUAGUGGGAAAAGGCUUUGUUGUUGUUGUUGUUGUUGUGGUCACUCUUAAAACCUUACCUAAGAGACCCAAAAACAAAAAUAACCGCCGAAAGAGCUAAACAUACAUAUAUAGAAAAACUUAAUUAACUGCAUGCUAAAAUGGAAGUGUAAAAUUGCCAAGAAAGAUAAGAAACUAUUUAAAUACGAAUUCUGGGCAUUACCGCCACAAAAGGCAUGAGCCGAACAGCUAUCAACAAGAACACACUUCCCAUUCAUCCAGAUAGCCCUUGUAUUUCACAUCCAUAUCUGCAUUUUCCAACAAUUCCCACUUAAACAGAAACACAAAAUUCAUCGAAAAAAUGCUAACUUCUUCGAAAUUUGAAUCCAACGUUUCGUCUUAUAACAAAUGCAAUAACAUAGAUUUGUAAUCAAUUCGAUGCCAUAAAGUUCAAGCUCAAAAUUUCAAAUCAGCUCCAAAUCAAAAGCAUUUACAGAUACAUACAUAUAUACAUAUGCGUGUGUGUGUUUAUCUACAUACCCAGGUUCAUGGCGUUGAGAGCUCGGCAGGCGACGGAGGGUGAUGACGGCGACGCCAAUUGGGUGGACGCUGCCCUUCGAAUUGGGUCGCUCCUCGCAAUAAGCUUCCCAUUACUUCCGUUUGAGAGUGACUGUCAGUGUAGAGAGAGGGAUUUUUUUUUUGUGCUUCUGGACCGGACUACACUUGAUGUUUCGGUUAUAUUACCGGGAAAAAGAACUGCCGCGGUGGCUACGCAGGGAAACUUGAAAUUUGAAAGAAGUAUGAAGUAUGGACUUGCCUUCAUUUAUUGAACUGAGAAAUCGAAAUCUGAAAGAGGCGUUUGACGAAGUGAUUGUGAUCUGACUCAAACAUGUGAUGAUGACGAUGCAUCACCACCUUGGUUGUGCCUCUGGAUCAAAAACAUACCAUCACCAUCAAAAUCGUGCAUAUUUUCCUUCAUAGGUUUGUCCCAUACUAGAUUAACCCCUAUUCCCUUAAUUAUUGCAUAAUAAGAAUUAUAGCAUGUCUCUGGCAUUCCAACGGCUAUAUCAACUUUAUCCCCGCUUUGCAAAUUGAACUUAUCGUUGGACAUUUGUCCCUGCCAAAGAAAACAUUUUUCAGGUAAACCAUCGUGCAUUUUUAUAACCCAAUCUUCCUUGCCUAUGCAGGUUUGCAACUCAGUACGCUUGGUAUUAUUUAUAUCAAUACUGCCACGAGGAUGACAAUAUUUAAAGCUCAUAGAAGGGCUUGAGGGACAAGUUAAGUGAUAAAAGCAUAACAGAGUCAACCCUUCAAAAUUACGACCAUCACUUGGGGGGUAUCAAAACUGACUUUAUCACCAUCGUUGACAAACUCGAACCAAUCAGGAACAUAAUUCGCAUCGAGAAAAAUGCCAGCAUAUCCGUAAGAAGUCCAUCCCUAUAUAUACAGUGCAAGUGUCAUAUACAUACAUACAUACAUACAUACAUACAUAUAUGUAAAUGUGCAUUGUGUGUGCAUGUGCGCAAUAGGAAGACAAUUAAAGAGAGAGAUACCUUUAGGACCUUCCUCCUAAAAUCAGCUGUGAGAUUGGUGCACUUUUGCAUUACAAUCCAUUUCAUGGAGUUUAAUGACUUAUCCAAGUCCGGAAUCUCUGUGAGUGCGUGUGAACCAGUUACAUUCAGUUCUCUCAUAUUUGACAUUUUCGAAAAAUUGGGCAUUUUUACCAAACAACAGCAACCAUAAGCAUCCAGAAAUUUCAAAUUUGUUGGUAAAUCAUAGAUUGUAUGAAGCUGGGAACAAUAACUUAACCACAUACCUUCAAGCUUUGAAAGACCAUUGAGGCUGGGUAGGGUGUGUAAGAUACUGCAGUGACUUAACUCCAGAGUUUUAAGAUUUGAAAGACCAUUGAGGCUGGGUAGGGUGUGUAAGUUACUGCUGUGACUUAAUUCCAGAGUUUCAAGAUUUGAAAGACCAUUGAGGCAGGGAAGGGUGUGUAAGUUACCACAGUGAUUUAACCACAUAGUUUUAAGAUUUGAAAGACCAUUGAGGCUGGGUAGGGUGUGUAAGUUACUGCAGUGACUUAACCACAGAGUUUUAAGAUUUGAAAGAUCAUUGAGGCUGGGUAGGAUGUGUAAGUUACUGCAGUGACUUAACCCUAGAGUUUUAAGAUUUGAAAGACCAUUGAGGCUGGGUAGGAUGUGUAAGUUACUGCAGUGACUUAACUCCAGGGUUUUAAGAUUUGAAAGACCAUUGAGGCUAGGUAGGGUGUGUAAGUUACUGCAGUGACUUAACCAUAGAGUUUUAAGAUUUGAAAGACAAUUAAGGCUGGGUAGGGUGUGUAAGUUACUGCAUUGACUUAACCCCAGAGUUUUAAGAUUUGAAAGACCAUUGAGGCUGGGUAGGGUGUGUAAGUUACUGCAGUGACUUAACUCCAUACCUUCAAGCUUUGAAAGACCAUUGAGGCUGGGUAGGGUGUGUAAGUUACUGCAGUGACUUAACUCCAGAGUUUCAAGAUUUGAAAGACCAUUAAGGCUGGGUAGGGUGUGUAAGUUACUGCAGUGACUUAACUCCAGGGUUUUAAGCUUUGAAAGACCAUUGAGGCUGGGUAAGGUGUGUAAGUUACUGCAGUGACUUAACCACAGAGUUUUAAGAUUUGAAAGACCAUUGAGGCUGGGUAGGGUGUGUAAGUUACUGCAUUGACUUAACCCCAGAAUUUUAAGAUUUGAAAGACCAUUGAGGCUGGGUAGGAUGUGUAAGUUACUGCAGUGACUUAACUCCAAAGUUUUAAGCUUUGAAAGACCAUUGAGGCUGGGUAGGGUGUGUAAGUUACUGCAGUGACUUAACUCCAGAGUUUUAAGCUUUGAAAGACCAUUGAGGCUGGGUAGGGAGUGUAAGUUACUGCAGCGACUUAACCCCAGAGUUUUAAGCUUUGAAAGACCAUUGAGGCUGGGUAGGGUGUGUAAGUUACUGCAAUGACUUAACCCCAGAGUUUUAAGAUUUGAAAGACCAUUGAGGCUGGGUAAGGUGUAUAAGUUACUGCAGUGAUUUAACUCCAGAGUUUUAAGUUGUGAAAGACCACUCAGGCCGGGUAGGGUAUGAAGGUUACAGCAGUUACUUAACUGCAAAUUUUCAAGUUUUGAAAGACCACAUAGGCUGGGUAGGGUAUGAAAAUAAUGUUUUGAGAGAUCUAAAUUUCCGUCUAACGAAUUGGGAAACUGCAAAGUAAACUUCGAUUCCACAGACGCUAGAGAUAAAUGAGUGAGAUUCUUCAAUCUUACUAUGGAACAGGGUACUUGUCUUAUGGCUGUGGAAGAUGCUAUAAGUACUCUCAAUGAUGUCAUCUUCCCUAAAUCCUCGGGCAGUUCACUGAAUUGCUGACAUCCAUUAAGAACAAGAGUCUGAACGGAUUUGGACUUGUAGAAAUCCCCAGGAAGAGAAAUAAGAUUCUGGCAGCCUGUGAGGUUCACCAAAGAAAGUUUUUUAAGAUGACAAAUGGAGGGGUGAAUCUCGGACAAACUGUUACACCAUUCCAAUAUCAACUCUUCAAGAUUUAGGAGAUUUGAAAAGUCUGGUGAUUUUUUUAAGUCAAGGCAAUAACUGAGAUUAAGGAUUUUCAAGUUUCCAAGCGACUGUUGCACAAAAUCAAAGGAAAAUUAAAAUUAAUAUCCAAAAACAAAUGGAAACAUAACAUCAUCAUGUGUAAUCGAUUGUACCUUGGAGCCCUCCCAAACUUGUACAAGUCUGCUAUACGCUAUCUCUAAAAUAACCAGUGCUCUUGGUUGAUCAAAGAAGUGAUCUGGUAUGGACUUUAAAGGGCAUCCAAACCAACGCAACCAUAUUAACUCUUUGGAAAGAUGUUUGUAUUCUCCAUUGAGCUGCACGUUGUAGAGCUGCAGCAGUCUCAGUUUCUUCAUAUUGGCAAAUGCUUCUGUACUGAAGCUUCGAAGCCUUUGCAGCCAAUGAUCUCCAGAAAAAUUAAGAGCAAGUCCUUUAACUUCUUCAGUUCCCUGUUAACAAAAGGUUAUAUUCAUGUGUAAGAAACGGAAUAUUUGCAUAUGUUUACAUGUAUGAAUACAUGCAAGUACUAUUGUUGGCUAAUUGAGAUGAUGUUACUUAAUGUAUAAUACACAUCCGUGAGUUAUAUGUGCUUUUCAUGUACGAUGCAUCAAUUCAGAAUUUUAUUGGGACUAUACUUACAAAUUUAUCUCUCAAUACAUCAAUGACCUCUUGCUGGUUCCACAACCUACUCCAUUCUCCAGGGUGACGAGGGGAUUUUUCAGAAAUGAUUAAUUUGGCCAUUUCUUGAAGCAAAUCAUGCAUAUUCAACUUCUUGUGUUCAAUAGUGAUAAGGCAUCGUUCACAGAGGACAUUGAUUCCUAUUGUUGCAAAAAACUUACAUCCAUCUAAUAUUUUUGCGACAUAGUCCUUAUCCCAUCCAAUAAAGAAACAAGAUAUGUCAAGGAAUAUAUCCUUUUGUGUAGGAUCUAGCCUUUCAAAGCUUACUCUUAGUGGUUUCAUUAUUCCUUCAUCAGGAAAUUUUUUCAAUUUCUCCAACUGACUUUUCUACUCUGUUGGUGUUCUUUCAAUCAUAAAAGAAGAACCUAAAACUGCAAGGGCUAGUGGCAAACCACCACAGUAAGAAACAACCUCUUUUGAGAGUUCAAGAUAUCCUUCAUUAGGCCAACUCUUUCCAAAGGCAUGCCAACUAAAGAGCUUCAGAGCUUCUUCUUCAUUCAUUUCCUUAAGUGAAUAUGUCUUGUCCACUUUCAUGUUCACUUGCUUUAGAAAACGUUCAUCUCGUGUCGUUAUGAUAAUUCUACUUCCUGGGCCAAACCAAUCACGAUUUCCAGCUAUUGCAUCUAGUUGUUCCACUUUGUCUACAUUGUCAAUAAUGACAAGCACGCUUCUACGUUGGAGAUGAUUUUUUAUCAGACUGAUACCUCUAUCAACACUGGUUAUCUUAGACUCGGUAUGUUUCAAGAUGUCAGAAACAAGUCUUCCUUGCAAAUCAACCAGAUCACAUUCACUAACGUUGGCAAGGAAACUUUUGAAUUGGAACUUAUGAUGAAGUUGGUUAUAAAUGGCUUUGGCAGCUGUUGUUUUACCCAAUCCACCAAUCCCCCAAAUUCCAACCAUGCGAACAACAUAUGAUCCACCAUUUGAAAGAUAAGUGAUGAUAUCUUGAAUGCGAGUAUAUAUUCCAACUGGGUGCUUGGCCAAAUGUAAAUUUUCUGCGCUCGGAAGCCAUUUUGGGAUAAUCUUGUCAACAAUUUCUCUAAUAAGCUUUGCUUCGCGCCUGAAAAAUUGAAUUGGUAAGCUUAGUAAGUAGGCUCAGUAGGAGCUAUUAGUACUAAUAUAAACAAUUUUCUUUCCUUCUUUCCUUCGUGUGUGUGUGUGUGUGUGUACAUAUAUGUACACAAACUAGCUACUAGCUAGUACGUGAUUUUGUGACCAACUUCAAUAAAAGAAACAAGUUCAUUCAUUGAUAUAUUAAAGUUUGGUGCAUCAAUUAAACUCCAAUUAUGGUUUAGAUUUUAGAGGAAAUUAGAGAAAUGGUCCUUGAACUAUGAUCAAAUUGUGGCCUUGGUUCUUAAAACUAAAAAUUCAAUAAAUCUCCUCCCUGAACUUAACAAAAUAUGAAGCAUUGGUCCCUAAAUGUUAACACCGUAUGAUUUUCUGUUAAUUUGAUUAUGUCGUCUUUGUGGGCUCCAUAUUAUUGUUUACUAGAUGGCACGUGGCUUGAAAAGUCAAAAUAAAAGAAAAUAAAUACAAACAUAGAGAAAGAAAGAGAGAGAAAAAAAAACUUUAAAUUAUAAAAGUUAACUCUCUCUCCCAUCCUCCCUUCCGCCUCACCUCCUCCAAACCCCAACCACACCAUUGUAGCACUUUCCCAACAGCCAAAACAAAAGAAAGUUUCUAAUCCAAUUUUGGAACACGUCUCCGUUUGCAAACGAAUUCACAAUGACAUCCAUUCACGCUGUCUCGACAGGUAAGAUUCAAGAAAUUUGUGGGAUGCGGGUUCGGGGUUCGGGUGAAGGCUGUGGUCCGUGGGCUACAGUUUGGAGUCGGCUGGAGAGUGGGAUUAGGGAUUGGGGGUUGGAAGUGGGAGGUUGACGGGGUGUGAAUCAAAGAUUGAAGGUGAAGGGGUGGCUGCGAGUGUUGGUGGGAUGAGGUAGGUGAAACUAACAUGUAAAGUUGUAAACCCUUUUAACUAAAAUUUAAAGGAAUUGGUUACGAAGGACUAACGCUCCAUAUUUUAUCAAGUUCAAGGGCAAAAUGUAAUGAAUUUUUAGUUUAGGAACCACAGCUACAAUUUUCCUCUAGAUUUUAUAUGAGAGAUUAAGGCGUAUUAAUUAAGCAUGAUAAUUAGAGUAAUACAACUUAAAUACUGAAAGCACAUGAAUGAUUACCUAUUAUCAGUGAUUUGAAGAUGGUAGCCAGACAAAUUUGCAGCUUUUGUAAGAACCUCUCCCCACUGCUUUACCUCUUCUUGUUUAGCUUCACGUUUCUUGUCAUCCUUUUCUUCACCGACGCCUUCUUCGUGCUUUUGAAAUUCUUCGGCUGACUUUGCAGCUUCUGUAAGAGCCUUUAUCCACUGCUCUACCCUUUCUCGUUUUUCUUCACGUUUCUUGUCAUCUUUUUCUUCACUGAUGUCAUUUUUGUGCUUCUGAAAUGCUUGGGCUAAAACUCCGUUCUGCUUCCUGACAUGUGAAGGAUCAAUGUGAUAGAAUAUUGGCAAAACAUGUCGCCCCAGUUUGUCUCUGCACUCCAUGAUCUUCACCAGCUCGUUAAGACACCAACUCGAAUCCGCAUACCUCUCUGAGAAGACAAUGAUAGAGGUCUUCGAUUCUUCGAUUGCCUGGAGCAGUUCUUUUGGUAUUUCUUCCCCUCUUUUGAGAUCGUCCUCAUCAAUAUAAGCCUGGUAUCCCCUGUCUGUUAAUGCCGCGUGGAGGUGGCCCGUGAAGCCAUUGCGUGUGUCUACACCGCUAAAGCUCAAGAACACGUCGUAAUUCCAAAGUUUUGACUUGGAGGAGGAUGAAGAGGAGGCUUCGUGGGUUGUCAUGGCGGUAUCCACCGUUAUGGCACUGCAGUGGUUCAGAUCACGACUGAAGAAUGGUAGUAGUUGUGUUCGUG
rnacentral:lncRNA from 1 species